rnacentral:lncRNA from 1 species
UUUUUUUUUUUUUUUUGUCGAAACGAUAGAUGUCCUAUAAUCUAAUCUAGCCUAGUCUAAGGGGAAGGGGAGGAGGUUCGAUGUGAGUACAGACUCCAUCGAUGAAAGUCAAUUAAGACCACCACAAAUUGUGACAAAUUUGUGGGAGGCAGGGAUUGAACCCCUGACCUCCAGCAUCACCUUUAAUGGUGAUGACCACCGGACCAAAUGGCCAGUGGCCCGAUCCGAACACUCUUGACAUUAGUGAUUUUGCAUAGAAUUUGAGAAAGUGAAGACAACUAGACAAGACAAUGGAAGGUCAUCGCCAAAACUUUUUACUACUCAUUUACUGCUGUAAAGCUUCAGGAUCUCAAAUUCAAAUGGCAAACCAAUACUUAUUUAAAAAAUCAACCCUUCUCUUCACUGUUCUCUCUGGAGUCUGGUGCCAGUCGUAGACUACAAGUAAUAAGAAAUUGAAUUGGACUCUUGAGUUGUCGAUCCAAUUUUUCUGGGAAUUGAAGGAGAAGUUGAAAAAUGGCAACAAAACAAAUGGAAGAGAUACAGAAGAAACUAUCAAUGUUGAAUUACCCAAGAGCAAAUGCACCUGCUCAAUCACUUCUCUUUGCCGGCAUGGAACGCUAUGCUCUCCUUGAAUGGCUCUUCUUUAAGUAAAGUUCAUCACUUUUUUUGAAAAUUAUUUUGGGGCAGGAUUUAAUUUCGUGUUUAUGAGAUUUUCUUAUCUGGGUUUUUCUUUUUGCAGGCUAUUAGGUGAUAAAUCUCCAUUUUCUCAGCAGAACCUACAAGGAGAUGCGAUGGAUCGUGAUGAAGAAACUUCUCGAAUUCAAUGUUAGUGCUUCUCAUCCUCAGACUUUGAACUUUAGCGAGAAUCAUGAAUAAUUUUGUCUUUUCGAUUUUGAUUUGAUCAAUUGAAUUUAUCAAUGUACAAGGUCUAAUUUUUAAAAUACUCAAAUGGGUAAUGAGGAGUUUGAAGGUAAAUUUUUUUUUUUCCUGAUUAUGGUUUAAGAGGUAUAAGGACUUUCAGAAUUUGCUAUUUUAUUUGCAGACUUGGCCGAGAUUGCUAAGUUUCUGGGCAUUACCACUACUGUAGAUACUGAAGCAAUCCAAGUGAGUUUGGUGUCUUUUUACCUGCCUGCUUUGAUUCUGAAAAGGUUGUCCAAGGCUUAUGUGGUGAUAACAAUUAUGUGAAACGCACUCUUUUCAUAAUAUAAAGUCUGGCGGUUUGUUUUUCUCUUGUUUUUGUUAUUUAACAUCAGUGGUUGUUUGACCAGAUAUUGGAAGCUUGUAGGUUUCAUAGGUUUUUCAGUCUUGUUGACAUUUAUCUGUUAUGUGAGAGAAGUCUUUCUAUCAUCUAGAGUUGCCUCUGCCAUUUUUAUGGUUUUGAGAUGAUUGUGGAUUGGGUAGCAAUCAAUGGCUCUUGCAAGCUUAUGUCUAACUUAUGGGCUAUAGUAGCUGAGAUUAGGAUCUCCAUUCUCUUGGAAUGAAGACUGCUAGCUGCUUCAUUUGGUCUUUGAGAAACUACAAGUCCACAAUGGCUGAGAUGAAGAGCGUGUUAUUCUGUUUUCAUGAUAUUCUUCAUGUUUACAGUAUUUUCUACAGGAUAUGUAGGGUUCAGCUUUUAGCUGUAGAGAAAAUGUUCAUAGGGCUAGUUACUGGUUACUGACAGUUUAGAUCACAAAAUUGGGCCCUUCUAAUGUUCUGUUGAUUAGGUGAAAAAUCAGCAAGGAGAUGGCCAUUUUUCUUUGCAUUUCCUAGUUCUCUGUAGCAAUUUGGAAGAUUUAUAUGUACUCCGAUUUGAACUUUCCUGAUAUGAGAUCUUCUUUCGCAGGGAAGAGGUAGUUAUGAAGACCGUACAGAAAUGCUUCGUCUUAUUGUAGAUCUUGUUGAGGCUAGCAUAUAUGCUGAUAAUCCCGAAUGGAGGUUGAGAUUUUCUUUGUGUUCUUUUGACUAACUUUAGCAAUGAAAUCUUGUUUUGCUGGGAUAUCAUUUUGUUUUGAUAAAAUUCAAAAUGUUGAGAAAUUAAUUGAUGUAUGACAACCUUGAUUUUCUCUGUUCUGCUUUCCUCUUUAUCCAUUAGUAAAAACUGUUGCCCCUCCAGUGUUGAUGAGCAGGUAGCAAGGGACAUACAACUUAUAGAUGCCAUUGCAGAAAGACAAGCACAGAUUUUUUCUGAAGAAUGCAAGUUGUUUCCUGCAGAUGUACAGAUUCAAUCUAUAUAUCCAUUGUAAGCAAGUACUUUUUGCAGCUUUAACUUGAUGUGACUUCCUUUUCAUUGAGUUUGUGGUGAACAUUCGUAGGUUUAAAUAUCUUGCAGCAAUGCUUUUUAUUUUAGUUGCUGUUUUUAGAACUUUGUAUGAGCUUAGUUGUAUGAGCAUUGAUUUCUGUGAACUUGGACAUUCAAUGUUUUGGUGCAUCUAUAUUUUGUCGAAAAAAUCAUUGGUCAUCUAUAAUGAGGAUUCCUCAAACUGCUUGCAUUGAUGCUUUCUGUUUUGGGUGGAUGUGGUUGGGUAGAAGGAUUUCCUUCUCUCUUUGCUGAUAAGUUUCAUUGGUUUGCCUUUUAUUUCUUUUGCCUCUUGUUUUGCUGCUCAAUUGGUGAUACUGGAUCAUUAUGCUGUGUGGAGAUGAGAACUUUAGCUCUAACAAUGGAAUGAUUAUUUGCAUACUGCUGUUAACGAGUCGGCUUGGGUGCUUGGGGUAUUCUUGUAGUUAAAUAUUUUCUGGGUGAAAGUUGGGUAGGGAUUGCUUAUAUGAAUGGUUAAACUUGCGAGGGAACACCAGCAUUAAAUCUAGUACCACUUCAGCAUGUUUUAAGGACAUCUAUUGCUUUUCUUUUGGGAUUCAGUCCGGUGACUGCAAGAUCUAUCUGUUCCCUCCCUAUCAGUCCUUAUUCUAUAUUUUGUUUUAGUAGUUCAUAUAAACAGCCGUGUUUGUGAAAAUUUUUGUUCCAUUACUAGUAAGUAAGCUCUCUAAUCUGUUUGCAGCACACAUAUUAUUGUUUUCUUUUAAUUUUCUUCGCCAGAUGUCGUAACUCUUUGUACUGUUAACCCAAGCACAAUUGCAGGCCUGACAUACCUGAUCUGGAGAAACAGCUUUCCGAUCAAUCAAACAGGCUUCUGAGUCUUCAGGAGAUGGUUGAUGAUUUAGCAUCUAAGGUCAUUCAACUUGCUAACCAGCUUUCUUUCAUUAACUUCCUUGUCUUACCCUGGAUGAAUUUCUCCUGAUUAUGCUUCAAAAGAUUUGGAUCUUUUUACAGUGUCAUGCUCAGUUGGAAAUGAUUUUCUCUUUUUAUUUUCAUGUGCAGCACUCAUACAAUCCGGAUGAGGACUAUGCGGAAGUAGAAGCAAAAUUACGGGCAUAUUUGGAGUCUUUUCUAGAAACUGCAAGAUCCUUUAAUUCCAUUUACACCAAGGUUGUGUCUCUUUCUCACAUUAUUCUGCUUUCUUAGGUUACUGAGAUUUUGCAAUUAUCAUAUGGACCUCUUUUAAACAGCUUAAGUAGCUAGUACUUGCUAGUUGGUUGCUAAGGUUCUCCUUGUUUAACUUCUGCUUUGUCUUAAGUUAGAACUUUCCAUGUUUAUUGGGUGCAUAUUCACUUUCUGCACAUCUUUGAUUUUGAGUGGCCUCGGGGUAAAAAGCAAAGUGUUGCCCGUGCUAGCUUUAGCAAAGAUCUAGUUGACUUCUGGAACAGUUUGGGUUUUUACAGCAUGCUAUACUUUGGUACGAUUACCUUGGAUGGCUUGGAAUAGGAUUUGCACAACAGCUGUUCCUUCUUUCUUCGUCUUCUUUCUUUUCUUAAUUUCAUGCAUCUGCUUUACAAAUUUGUUUAUUGGUUUUUCAUUCUGAAUAUUGUUUUAUUUGUAGGAAAUUCGUCCUUGGACACACAUGAUGGAGGUUCCACAAUUGCAUGGAUUUGGUCCAGCAGCCAAUAGGCUGUUGGAAGCAUAUAAAAUGCUUUUGAAGGUAUCUCACAUUAAAGUUUGCUAUUUUUAUCAAGAAAUUGUUUGGACAUAACUGUUUGAAAUGGUGAUUAACCUGAUUUUUUCCAAUUGAAGUUUUUUAAGCAUGAUCAAAUGCAAAAAGUUUUUGACAGAGCAUGAGUUUAGUUCUAUCUAGAUUAUAGGCAGAUUGAAUGUACUUUUUUUGCCCUAAAUUCAGUUGAAUGUACUUGAAUUCAUCUGAAUAACCUUUUGGCCAUUUUUAAGACAUUACGAUGGCAAUUUUGACAGUCAAAUAAUAGUUAUUCAUAGACUAAUAUUAACUAUUUAAGAAAAAUUUAAAUCCGUACAUGCAGAUAGCACUGACAAGAGGGUUUGGAAACCAGUAAUGCUGAACCUUAAUCUAGUUUCCAACUUAUACAAUUUCACUUUAGUGGGAAGUAAUGGUGGCCUGUGUAAGGAAAUGCCUGGACCCUUGAACCAAAAGGGGUAGAAAGAAGGACAUUAACAUGCUGGAGUGCUCAAUUUGUGAUGUGUGUGGACCUCAAAAACAUUUUAAAUAGACUCAGUCCAGUGUGGCAAAGUCAAAACUACCUAGUGCCUUCAAGGAGAGAGGAAGUUGAAAUGGUAUGCUAGCAUAUGAAUCUGGAAAGAAAAAUCAGUGUGUUGUAAGUGUUAUUUAAGGUAAUAAUGUGAUGAAGUCCUAAAAGGUCUUUAUGGAUGUGGUGGUUACGUGAAGGUGGAUACAGUUUGGACGAUGUCAGCAUCCAUUGUGUAUUUUGGUAAUUGAAGGGCAAUGAUGAAUAGAACAACAGCGUGAUUAGGGAGGGAGAAAAUUUCAGCUUAAUCUGCCAUGUUCAGUGGUUACAUGAAAGAUGAAGUGCUGCAAAAAGCAAAACCAAGGGAUAAGUCAGGUUGAAACCCAUCGAAAAGAAAAAGAUUGAAAUGGGCAUAUUUGCAAAGACAAAAUACAAGAUUCUUGUUGAAUCAUACAAGUAGGGUAACAUCAGAACAGAUUGAUUCAUAUUUAGAUGCAGGAUAACUUAGACUUUGAGUAAUGUUGUCUCCUAUCUCUUCUACCAGAACCUGUUCUAUGGGUAUUAUAAAUUAUGAAAAGCAAAAGCAUCAGACUUAUAUUUUAGAUAUUGACAAUCUAGAAAUUUAGUUAUUACAGUGACUAUGGACAAAUGAAAGCUUCUACUAAUUUGAAAAUUCAAUUAGUAUGGGAAAAGGAAACAGAGAAAUGAAUCCUUCAAUAGCUCAGGAAAAGAAAUUGGUACUGGUAUAUGCAAUAAGCUUUUGCUUUAGCUUUAGUUGCCCUUGUACUCCACUGGCUGGUACCAUGCUUUUUUGUUUUAUUAUUAUUUUUUCAACUGAAUACUUGGUGGUCAUCUGAACCCUUCUCUUUUCUCCUGGAAUUUGCAGUUUUUAGGAAAUUUGAAGAACCUUCGAGAUUCGCAUGCUGCAGUUGCUGUUGGAUCAUCUGAAUCAGUUGGUGGUGAGCCAUCUUCAGUCACGAGAAUAAUCUCCGAGUGUGAAACAUCAUUGACUCUCUUGAACCGUGAUCUUGGUAUUCUAUCGGCUUCAAUUGCUCGGGAGAAAGGCCAGGAUAUAAUGCUGUGAGAUUUGUAGUAUUUACACAAGAAGAGGAGGUUCUCCGUCGCGAUUGAAGUUUGAAUGAUAGAAACCAUACUUCUUGGGGACUGAGCACUAAUGUCAUGUUUAGGCCAAUAUAGGGCAUUGGCCUGUUGUAUUACAUUGUGAGUUGAAUGUUAUUAACUGUGCAUGAUGACCUGAGAGCACCUUGAAUUGUACCAGUUCAAAAUAUUGAUGAGUGAUGGAUCUUCAUACCUAGAGUGAUUUAAAGUUGAGGUCCUUCAUGGUCAUUGUCCGCCCUUGUAAUCAAAUUUUGAAGCUUCCUAUUCAUCAUUUUGCUUAUUUAGAUGGUUACAAUUUUCCCAUAUGAAUCAAUUGAAUUGGUUAAAUGCUAGUCUUCAGAGACAAUAGUUUGCAGAUUGCAGACUAUCAAGUACUAUCAAAUAGGACUGAGAAGUAGAGGAAAACCAACUUCUUACUUUUAUUUUGUUGAAGGAAGUGGAAAACCAACUUUUAACACUUGAGUCAUAUGCUGCAGAUCUUUAUUAUAGCAUCAGAAUAGGAACAAGAAUGACCUUACCUCACAUGUAUAUUUACCAAAAGAACUAUUCCAUCCCAUUGAAGUAUAUGAUGUAUACGUGGCAAAUUCAGGUGUAGUAAAAGAGAUCAUCAGCUAUAUUUGUGGGAUCAGGAUCUUGUUUACCACUUUCAGGAUCCUCAUUAGAAACCUGUCCUUGAUCAUUCUUUCCCUCAUCACUAUCACUGAAGGCCCUCUUCGCCAUGCAUCCUCACAAGGCCCCUGGGCCGGAUGGUAGGUUCCCUUUAUUUUUUCAAAAAUUUUGGAAUAUAGUUAAAAGAGAGGUGAUUGAUUUGGUUAGACAGUUUUUCAAGGGAAAUUUCUUGCCUAAAGCUACAAAUGAAACUCUGGUCACCUUGAUUCCAAAAAAUGAUGCCCCCAUUAAUGUCAAUCAGUUCAGACCCAUUAGUUUAUGUAAUGUGGUCUACAAAAUCAUUGCAAAAAUUCUCAUCAAUAGGAUGAAACCGCUCCUUCCAAAUUGCAUCAAUCCCGCCCAAUCUGUUUUUAUCCCUAGUAGGCAAAUCGUUGAUAAUAUCAUUCUAGCUCAUGAAAGCAUUCAUCACCUCAAUAACAAGAGACGAGGUAAAAAUGGCUAUAUGGCCAUGAAAUUAGACAUGUCAAAAGCCUAUGAUAGAGUGAAGUGGAACUUUAUUGCUGCGGUGAUGGCUAAAAUGGGCUUCUGCCCUAUUUGGAUUAAAUGGAUUAUCACUUGCUUAAAUUCAGUUUCAUUUUCUUUCAAUAUCAAUGGUGACAAAAAAGGCUAUGUAGUUCCUUCUAGGGGCAUUAGACAAGGGACCCCUUAUCCCCUUACCUUUUCAUUAUCUGUGCUGAAGGCCUCUCUAGUCUCUUUAACCAAGCCUUGGAAAACAAAAGAAUCUCUGGUCUGAAGCUGGCUAGGAACGCUCCAAGUCUGUCCCACCUUUUGUUUGCUGACGAUUCCUUGAUUUUUUGUAAAGCAAAUGUAGGUGAGAUAAAGGAAAUAAAGAGAAUCCUGAAAGUCUAUGAAACCACAUCAGGACAACAAAUCAACUUGGAGAAAUCAACGGCCCUUUUCAGCAAGAACACAAACAGACAGGUGUCGGAAGACAUAAUGAGGGAGCUGGAGGGAAUCAAAGUAGUUGCUCAGGGUAAAUACUUGGGACUUCCCCUUGUUAUAGGACGGUCAAAAAAUCAGAUUAUGAGUUUCAUCCGGGAAAGUGUCAAAAAGAAAAUUCAAGGUUGGGAAGGAAGAUUGCUGAACCAAGCAGGAAAAGAAGUCCUCCUGAAGUCAGUAGCAAUGGCCAUGCCAGCUUAUACUAUGUCAGUUUUCAAAUUGCCAAAGGGAUUAUGCAAGGAGUUAAGUUCCAUCAUGGCAAACUACUGGUGGGGUAGCGAAGGCAACAAGAGGAAAAUCCAUUGGAUGAGCUGGUCCCAUUUGACAAAUAUCAAAGAAAGAGGAGGAUUGGGUUUUAGGGACCUCGAGGAUUUCAACAUGGCCUUACUAGCAAAGCAAGUUUGGAAGUUCAUUGCAAAACCAAACUUGCUUGUUAGUAAGAUCAUGAAAGCUAAAUAUUUUCCAAAUUCUUCUAUUUUACAGGUUACAAAGGCAGCAGGGGAUUCAUGGAUUUGGCAAAGUAUACACAGCUCUAUAGGCCUUAUAGAAGAGGGAAGUAGGCAGAAUGUGGGAAAUGGGGAAACAAUCAACAUCUGGGAGGAUAGAUGGGUUUCAAACUUGACAGGAGGUAAAAUUCAAUCAGCCAAACCUACCAACUGUGAAAUCAUCAAGGUGAAGCAGCUGAUCAAGGGACAACAGUGGGAUCCAAGUAUCAUAAAUAGGCUAUUUUUUGAAGAAGAGAGUGUAGCUAUUCAAAGCAUCCCUUUAAGCCUCUAUGAUGGCCGAGACAGAAUAAGAUGGAAUCUCACAAGGUCGGGGAUCUACUCAGUCAAGACAGGCUACUCUCUUUUAAAGGAAAUGGCAAAGAACCAUAGACCAAGCAAGUUGGAUCAGGGUGGACAAAGCACAGAGCCAAGUAAAGAAAUGAUCUGGAAAAGACUUUGGGGACUCAACUUGAAGCAUAAGAUUAAGCACUUCAUCUGGAAAUGCCUCAAUCAGACCCUUCCAACAAAUGAAGCAAUUGCCACACGGAUAGGGAAAGGAUGCAACGUUUGCCGAAAAUGUGGAGAAGAAGUAGAAACAAUUGAGCACUUAUUCUUUUUUUGCAGGAAUGUCCAGGAUAGCUGGAAGCUAUUCCCAAUUCAGUGGGAUGGAUGCCUCGAGCACCAGUGGAACUUCGGAAGAUGGUGGGGCAAAUUACAAGAGGCUGCUCACAGGAACCAGGGAUCAGGUCAUAUUGCCCUGACAGCAAACUUCCUGUGGCACUUAUGGAAGAGCAGGAACAAAGUCUGUUUCAAUUCAAAGGUUCAAGAAAGCCACCUGAUAGUCACCAGAGCUCAACAAGAAUGGCUUGAAUAUGAAGAAAUAGGGAAAGAAGAAAGGACUCAAAUCUUGGAUUCAAGCCCCACAAGUUUGACCAGGCUACCCACGGUGGAAGUCCCGGGAGCAAUGUGUGUGGCUGCCUGUGGAGCUGUAGAUAGAACAAGGAAAAAGGCAGGAAUAGGAAUAGUAGUCAGAGAUAACAGGAGGAAGCUAACAGCAACAAAGGCGAUCCCUUUAACUUUCAGCGGAGAUAGGAUCUUAACAGAAGCUCUAGCAAUUCGUACAGGAUUGUUAUUUGCAAUGGAACAACAGUGGGCUUCUUUAGAGAUCCAAUCUGAAUGUAAAGCCUUGAUAGUUAGACUAAAUGAAGAAGCUGAAGAUGAAUCCCAGCUUGCAGUCAUCAUCAGAGAUAUAAAGCAACUCAAAGCAUCCUUUUGGAAGUGUAAUUUCUACUUAGUUAGUCAGCAUGAAGAUACAGUUAGUUUUAAGCUUGCAAAAUUUGCAACCAAACUGAUACAUGAUGUUAAGUGGGAAAGAUCUUUCCCCCUGUGGCUCAAACGAGCAUCACAGUCCUGAUGGAGCAGUUGCUCCCUUUUGUACAAUGCUGUAUAGGCACAAAAUUAAUUAUUACUAAAGCUAGUGACAUUUUGACAAAAAAAAAACUAUCACUGAUUUCAGAAAUCAACGGCUUAGAUUGCACUACCUCCUUAGAAAGAUGGAAGUCAUCAACAUUGUGUGAGGGUUAAGAUUUACCAUUCUCAUCCGGUGCUUGCCUUUGCCUUUGCUUUUAAAAAAAAAAUAUUUUUUUUGCUUAUCUUGUCGCGCUUCGUCAAUACGGCAGGUAUAGUUUAGUUCACAAACUUUGUCAGAGCAAUAAUUGGCCGGCUUUUUUUCUUCUAGCUAUAAUCUAAGGAAUUAACCCUGCAUUUUAGCACUAGGCUACUAGCAUUGUUUUCAUAUAUUUAGUACAUUUUAUUUUUUUCUCUACCACUAGUCUAAUUUGUAAUUCUUGGAUCCUUCCUUCUCAACUUGAAAUAUUGCCUCCAAAUGUAGCCUUUAGUAUGUUUCCAAAGAUUUCAUUGCCAGCCAAGUGCUUUUGAUCUACCUAUUUUUUCUUUUGAUAAGGUUGAAUGAACAUAUUGAUGUGAACUAAAAUUAAAAUGAUAUGUGCAACCACCCUUUCAAAUAAAGUCCCCAAAUAGCUUAUAAUUGCAACCAAUUGUUUAACUGUGUUUUGGACAAACAUGUGGGCUGGUUGGCUGCCAUCUCUUCUAGCAUGAACAAAACAAGUAGUAUUUACAGUAUGGGAACUCUUGGCAAAAUCCUUAGCAAGAUGAAUCAGAUGACCAAAUGCCUAACCUCUAUGAUAACACUCCAAAAAAAAAAGGAAGUGUGUACCAAAAAUCCUGAACACCGAGUCCCCAACCCGCUCUUUUUACUCCUUCCAAAUAAAUUAAAUAUAGUACAGUACCAUUUAAAUCUAUCCUUAUUUUAUCCUUACAUUUUGGAUAUAUCCACCCUAAAAAGUGAACAUUUUCUCAAUUUUUUAAAAUCUUAAAACUUUGCGUUGUGUUUGUAAUUUUGAAAUCACAUCGUAGUUUUCAUCCAACGAUUGUUGCAUGUAGAAAUUUCUUCGCAAAGAUUUUGUGAUUAAUUGAUAGUUGUAACUUGUCCCCUUAACUCAGGAAUCAUGGUUAAAAUUUUUGUUUGGAAAGCCAUUUUUCACCAACAAUUUUCUACGUUUUCCGUGAACAUAUUUUUCAAUCACUUUUUUACAUUUUUUUGGGUCAUUUUUCACUUAUCUACUCCUACUCUAAUCUAAUCUAGGAGGGAGGCGUAGAUGGGCCUACAGGAGAAUUGACUGGGAUUGAAUCACCAUCGGACUAGACGGGUGUAUUACAUAUUCGUAUGAAUUUGAGCAAACUAUAUAUUGUGGCAAGUGAAGGGAUGCAAGAUUACCAACAGGGGUUGGUCCGAGUGGUAAGCGGUUCGGAUUCGCUUAAGCAGGUCUCGUGUUCGAGUCCUAGUGUACGCAGACACCCCUGUUGGGAGACUCACCCACCAUAGCCAGGUGCGCGACGCGGGUCGGGUCCGGAUUAGUCGGGGCAAAGCUUCGAAUACCGGGCGGGCAAUCAAAAAAAAGAAGGGAUGCAAGAUUUGAAUCCUUGAUUUCUCACUCCAUCAAGAUUUAAAGUCUUUCAUGGUGGCCAAAGAUUCAAUCACUUUUUUAUCUCAUAUAUAUAAAAUCGUUAUAGUACAUUUUCUAUAAAAACUUCAAAAAAAUUGCAAUCCAAGCAGGACAGGUCCAAAAACACUAGCAGAAGCUGCUUUAGAUUGUAAUUUUAAGUAGAAAAAUUUUUAUAUUUUUUGCAAACACAUUUUUCAAUCAUCUUUUUACCUUACAUACAUCAAAUCGUCACAAUAUAUUUUUUUUAUAAAACUCUUAAAAAUAGCAAUCCAAACGGAAGUAACAAGAACUUUUCAAUCCACACUUGACAAUGACACAUAUUCUCAGAUUUGCUUAAUAAAGAAUAUUUAAAAAAAAAAGAAAUAGAAAAGGCAGAUAGGACAUCCAUCAAAACUCCACCUAGUUUGUAUUUUACUAGCCCAUAACAACAAAACCAAAAAAGCCAGUCUCCCAAUUUCAAUCCCAAAGCCCAAAGGCCUAGCCUCUCAAGUCUCAGGAAAGGAUAAAAAAAUUUUCUAUUUUACAACUGUGCCCCCAUUUGCCAAAAACCCUAAACUCUAACUCCACCUUUUUCCACUCCUCCCCCUAAGGGUGGGCACGGGUCGGGUACCCGCCCCUAACAAGAUUUGGCUGACCCGACCCUAAAAUAUCGGAUCAGCCAUUUUGCGACCCUAACCCGCUCCUAAUAUUUUCGGGUACCCGAAAAAAAGGGGCGGGUCAUAGGGUACCCGAUCCUAAAAAAAAAUUAUUUUUCAAUAAAAAAAUAUUUUUCAUUUAAUAUCAACAUGUUUUCCAAUAAAAAAAAAUAUGCUUUCCAAUUAACAUUGGUAGAGAUAUUAUAAUCAAAAUCCAUACAUCACCAUUCUCACAUAUUUCAUCCAAUAAUCAAACUGAUUUCAUAAAUUUAGUACAUAUUACAAUUAUAAUAUCUAAUAGAUAAAACGAAAUUUUAUAAUAAUUUUGAGUACAUCACCAUUCUUACGCAUUUCAUCCUUCUACAAUAUAACAAACACAAAGAUAAUAAGUAUAUGACAAUUCAACUUCCUUAAGGAUGUUAUGGUACAAGAUUGUAUCCAAAAUGAGUCGAUUGUGGAAUCAAAUCCGGAAAAGAAUUGAACAGAGCUAAUAAUUUUUGAAGAAAGUAUAACCAAAAUAAUCUUGAAAAAUUUUCCCCAACUUUCUUACAUCGUUGGAAUAGACCUUGUUGCAUUAAAGGUGAUGAAAAAGAAAAAUAAAUUUCUUGCACUAAAAUAAAAGGAGACAAAUUUAAGAGGCACAAUUGCAAUAAAAUAAAUAAAUAAAUGAAAGACACAAAUGUUUUAAUUAUCUAGCUAACAAAAAAUUGGAGCUCCAAACACAAAUUCUUGAUUGAAUUGAUGAAAAAUUUGUAGGAAAGAUCGAUGGAAGUAAAAUAAAAAUGAAAAAGGAUGAAAGGAACGAACAAUUUUUAUGAUAGAGUUUCACAAAUUUUUCUUUGUUUAUUUAUUUGGUUCAGAUUUCGCCAAGAAUAUUCGCUUUUUUUAGACAAAAUGAGGAGAGGCGGAUCAUAUGAGAUUAAAAUAUGAGGUUGUGAACCACUUUACUUACACUUAGCAUUAAAAAUUAUAAAAUUAUAUAAUGAACCUUUAUUUUUUUAAUAUUUAGAUAAUAUAUCCUGCGGGUCGGGUACCCGCGGGUUUUUAUUUUGCUGAUCCGUAUCCAUAUCCGUUUUUGCGGGUACCCGACCUGUGUCUACCCCGCUAAGAAAAAUAGGAUCGGAUAUCCUAUUUUUCGGAUCGGAUCGGAUCAGGUUAGCCGGGUUUCGGAUAUGACCGGGUUUUUUGCCCACCCCUACCUCCCCCCAUCUAGCCAUUUCUAGCCUCCUCAGCCGUCCUUUGUUUAGUCACACAAAAUUUCCACUCUUCACUGGCUCUUUCUUCAUCUCCAUAGAAAACCCACCUCCCAAACCAUGACAGAAGAAGAACAAAAAAUAAGUUUUGUGCCUUUUUUUGGCGGGAGGAUUUAUAUAUAUAAAAAAAAAGUGAAGUAGUUUUGGAUUGAAAAGUGCCAUGAAUCAAGAUCAAGCCUUGCUCUGCAUUUUAGCACUAGGCUACUAGCAAGUUUUCAUCUAUUCAGUAUAUGUUAUUUUUUUUCUUAGUAAAGUAAAGUAAUUCUUGUACCCUUCUUUCUCAACUUGAAAUAAUCCCUCCAAAUGCAGCCUAUAAUAUGUUUCCAAAGAUUUCAUUGCUAGCCAAGUGCUUUUGAUCCACCAUAUGUUUUUCUUUUGAAAUUCCCUUUUUGUUUCACUAGAUAACAGUUGAAUGAACAUAUCGAUGUGAGCUAAAAUUAAAAUGAUAGGUACAACCAUGGUUGUCAAAAUCACGAUCAGGAUCGUAGAAUCGUAUGAUCCUACAAUCUGGAUUAGCAAAAUCAAUCCGGAUCAUGCAUAGAAUAAAAAAUUGUCUUACUAUGCAUAGGAUCAUUAGAAUCGUUCGUGGGAUGGUAGGAUCGUACGAUUGUGUUGCGCUAUGAAUUUUUGAAAAUUUUGUAAAUGUGGGGUUAAAUUUUGAAAUUAAAUGGAAACAUUUGGAAUAGGUUUGUAACUUAUGAAAGAAUUAGAUCCUUGAAUUAUAAUUUUCCAACAAUCAACAAAGGAGGAAGAGAGAGAAAGCUUCUUCGGUUCUUUCCUAUCUCUAUUCCAAACUUCUUCUCCAUCUAGAUUCCAAUAAAAUUUUACAAAAUUUUGCCAAUCUCCCAUCUCUAAUUUUCUAUUGUCGUUGUAUCCUUGUCCAAACUCAAGAAAUAUUUGGUAGAAGAAGUCGCCCAACGAAAACAAUCACGAGUACCCGUAACCCCUAAUUUGAUUGUUUCUUUUAAUUAUGUCUAUUAGAUAUAUAUGUGUACUAAAUGCUUUUAUUAUUAAGUUUUAAGAUAGGUUGUAUUCUUAUUUCUAAUUAGGCAAGACACCUGGGCCUUUUCUUUUCAUUUUGGGGUUCCGUUGGUUUUCUUUCUUUUUUUUUUUUGUAGUUAUUUUGUGAUAUGGAAAUAUAUAGCUAUGGAUUUCAUUGGGGUUCCGUUUCUUUUUUUUUUUUUGUUAUUUUGUGACAUUGAAAUAUAUAUAGUUGUGGAUUUCGUUCUAGUGUUUGUUUCUAAUAUUUAUCGUCCUUGUACGACUUAAUAUUCUUGUGAAUUGCAUCUGAAGUUGUGUCAAUGGUGUUUAUUCUUCUAUGUUGGUUUGGGGCUGUACUAAUAAUCUGUUAAUAGUGUUUAUUCUUCUAUGUUGGUUUGGGUUUUACUAGAAAUUAAAAAGGGUCUAAAAAUAAUUGAAAUAUGUAAAUAAUUAAUCUAGUUUCUUGAAAAAAUUUGAGGUAUUUUAAGAGAAUGAUGUCUUAAAAGUUUUGCUAGUUGUAGCCAACCACAUAGCUAAAUUGCUAAAAGAAUGAAAGCAAAUAAUUAGAAAAUCAUGCGAGGUACAUGAAUGGAGAAAAACAAAGGUGCCAUUUUACUAGUUAAUUUUAAUAUUGGAGACCUUGGAUUUGGAAGUUAUGACCUUGGUGGAGAUUGAUGAUUAUCUUAGAUUUGAAAUUAUUAUUGUUAAACGGUAAAACAUUUGGUUUUAAGAGUUGUAAUCAUUGGCUCCGUUUGGAUUAGUUGUUUUUUAAGGUGUUUUUGAAAUAUUUUACUAUAUCAAUGUAUAUGCAAAACUUUUAUUGUAGAUGUUUUUAGUGGUGUUUUUGUGAUAUAUUUUAGGGUAUUUGUAAAGUUUAAAAAUUUUUAGAAUAAUUUUUAAAAUUUAACACUCCACUCACCACCAUCCCCUCUCUCCUUCCUUUCUUCUUCCCGUUCCUCUUCCUCCUCCCUCUCUCCCCCCUCCCACUCUUCCCUUUCCUUCCCCUUUCUCGCCAUACUCUGCCUCUCCCCUUCCUUCCCCUCUCCGAUUUGGGACCAAAGGCCUCGAUUUGGUUGAGGCUAGAAGGGAGGAAGUGGGGUGUAGCGAGGAAAAGGAGGGGAACGGGAAGGGAAGAAGGAAGAGGAAGGGAGAGGAAUGAGGAGGAAAAAGAGGGACGAGGAAGAGGGAAUGAGAGGAAAGAGGAAAAAAGAGAAGGAGGAGGAAGAUGGUGGGUUAGGUGAUGGUGGUGGUAAUAGAUGGAAGAAGAAAAUAGUGUAAAUUUUAUUUUUUAAUUUUAUUUUGUAUACUUGGAGUUGUUUUUGAUAUAUUGAAUGGAUAUAGUGUUUUUUGAGUUAUUUUUAUUUGUAUAUUACUGUAACAUUGCAAAACUUGUUUUUCAAAAAAGAAAGAAACCAAACAGAGCCUAUUUAUAACUGUUUAUAUUCUUCUUCUUUAUUUCUUGUCAAGCUAUAGGUAAAAAAUGCUAUAUGUUUAUAAAUAAUUUACUUAUUUGAUAUCUUUUAGGUUGUACAAAACUGUAUAUGAAUUUCAAAUUAAUUAAUUUAGUUAAUUUGGGAGUUUUUGAUGGGAUCUUACGAUCCUACGAUCUAAUCCUGUGAAACUAAAAUCGACCCUACUUAGAAUCCCAAUUUUGCAAACCUUAGGUACAACUGCCCUUUUAAAUACAGACACCAGAAAACUCAUAGUUGCAGGCAAUUGUUUAACUGUGUUCUGGACAACCUUGUAGACUGCUUGGCUGCCAACUCUUCUAGCAUGAACAAAGCGAGUAGUAUUUACAGAAUGAGAACUCUGGGCAAAAUCCUUAGCAAGAUGAAUCAGAUGACCAAAUGCCUAGCCCUCUAUGAUAACACUCCAAAAAAAAAAUAAAAAAUUCUGUACCAAAAAUCCUGAACACCAAGUCCUUAACAUUAAAUAUAGUACCAUUUAAAUCUAUCCUUCUUUUAUCCUUUAGUUUUAGAUUUAUCCACCUUGAAAAGUGAACAUUUUUUUUAAAACUUUAAAAUGUUACGUUAUGUUUGUAAUUUUGAAAUCACAUUGUAGCUCUCAUCCAAUUAUUGCCGCAUUUAGAAAUUUCUUUGUAGAGAUUUUGUGAUCAAUUGGAAGUUGUAACUUAUCCCCUUAGAUUUUGGAAUGUGAUUUUUUGUAGAAUUUAAAACUUUAAAGUGUUAGGUUAUGUUUCUAAUUUUGAAAGCACAUCGUCAUUUUCAUCCAACUAUUGUCGCAUUUAGAAAUUUCUUUGUAAAGAUUUUGUGAUCAAUUGGAAGUUGUAACUUAUCCCCUUAGAUUUUGGAUCGUGAUUUUUUGCAGAAAAAUUUCAAUCACCUUUUUACCUCACAUACAUCAAAUCGUUACAAUAUAUUUUUCUACAAAACUCUUAAAAAUAGCAAUUCAAAUGGAAACAACAAGAACUUUUCAAUCCACACUUGACAAUGACUAUGACCAAACAUAUUCGCGGAUUUGCUUAAUAAAGAAUUUUUUUUGAAAAAAAAAGGAAAGAGAAAAAGAAGACAAGACAUCCUUCAAAGAUUCAAACUCUACCUGGUCGGUCCGUAUCUUGCUAGCCCAUAACAAGAAAACCAAAAAAGUUAGUCUUCCUAAUUUCAACCCAAAGCCCAAAGGACUAGCAUCUCAACUCUCAGCAAAGGACCAAAAUUUUCUAUUUACCAUUUUGACCCCAUUACCAAAAACCCUAAGGGGUAAUUUCACAAACCUACCCUGAGGUUUCUAAUACUUGCACUGACACCCCUUGAGAUUUUAAACAUUUCACCACCCUUACUUUUGAGAUUUUUGUAAUAAUUUAGUCCAAAUAGGAUUAAAAUAUUAUUGCCACGAGUGAGAUGAGAUUUUUAUUUCAUGAAUGCCCUUUUGGUCCCUGUAUUAGUAGAAGAUUUGCACAAGUAGUGAUGAUAAAAAAAAAGUUCAUGUUUGAUCCAUUAAAAUUUUAAACCGUAUACAACGAACUUUAAUACAAACUAGAAAUCACAGCUACCAACUCAAUAAUGAAAUACAACUUUUACUUAACAUAAGAUUCAUAAUAAUACACCAAUGUUUACUUCAACAUUUAAUAACUUUCUAUUAUCCCUUCCUCACUAUACAAAUUUACACAUAACAGCAGGAUACAUGAAUUACAGGAAUUCAGUUUUACUACCAACUCAAAAAUCUACUGAUUAAGAAAAUAUUUAUUAAAUAACAUACUAGUUUUCUUGAAACUGAUUCAAUAGAACAUUUGUUGUAGGAGGCUAAGAUGAAAAGGAAAUUCGUACCUUGAUUUCUGCUUUUAAUCACAUUCACUUCCAACAAAUGAACAACAUCUUCACUUGGUCUCCAUUUUCUUCUUCUUUUUCCUUUGUUUUUUUCCUUCUCUAUUUCUUGCCUUCUAGUUAUAUGGCUACAAUAUUAGAAACUUGUUCAAACAUCCUUGUCAAAUCAUACCAGUCACAAAAAUGGCGCCAAAUUCUUCCUCAAUUGCCGACUUUCUGUAAUGGACUUUUAAUCGGGUUAAUUAGACAUUAGAUUCUAUUAUUCUAGUUAAAUGUAAUUUAACUAAUUCAGAUGCAUUUGUUUCCCAAAUUUACGUUAGUCAUUAGCCCCAACUUCAUAGGAACAAGUGGUAAUUUCAGCUAUCAUGAUGUAAGCAAAAGGGCCCCAAAUCUCUGCCAAGGGAGGUCAGGGAAAUUUUUAAAACCUCAAGGGGUAUCAGUGCAAGUGGUAGAAACCUGAGAGGAGGUUUGUGAAAUUAUCCCAAACCCUAAACCCUAAACCCCAGCCUUCUUCUACCCUCCCAUUUCUAGCCAUAGCCUCCCCGUCACCUGUUUACUCACGUAGAAAAACUAACCCUAAACCAAAAUUUCCACUCUUCUUCACUCGCUCCUUCUCCCAAACCAUGACAGAAAUCGAGCUCUCCCGCUCAGACAAGAAAAAGAAGAAGAACAAACACUCCAAAACCGAACAAGAACCCGAAGAGAUUCAGAAAACCCAACAACCUGACGAAAAUGCCGACGAUUUCUCAAUCAAACCCCAGAAAUUCACCCCAACAAUCGACACCUCCGAGUGGCCAAUCCUCUUGAAGAACUACGACCGCCUCAACAUCCGAACUGGCCAUUACACCCCUCUGUCCUCCGGUUUUUCGCCGCUGAAACGCCCCCUGCUGGAGUAUAUCCGCUACGGAAUCUUGAAUCUUGACAAACCGGCGAACCCUUCCUCCCAUGAGGUCGUGGCGUGGAUCAAGCGGAUUCUCCGGGUCGAGAAAACUGGUCAUUCGGGUACUCUGGAUCCCAAAGUUACUGGUAAUUUGAUUGUUUGUAUUGACCGGGCCACCCGGCUGGUUAAAUCCCAGCAGGGUGCCGGGAAAGAGUAUGUUUGUAUUGCUAGAUUGCAUUCUGCAGUGCCCGAUGCUGCCAAGGUGGGAAGGGCACUGGAGACUUUAACUGGGGCUGUUUUUCAACGGCCCCCUUUAAUUUCUGCUGUUAAGAGGCAGCUCAGGAUAAGGACUAUUUAUGAAAGCAAGUUAUUGGAGUAUGAUGCUAGUAGACAUUUGGUUGUUUUCUGGAUUUCGUGCGAGGCGGGGACUUACGUGAGGACCUUGUGUGUUCACUUGGGGCUGUUGUUGGGUGUGGGUGGGCAUAUGCAGGAGUUGAGGAGGGUGCGGUCGGGGAUUUUAGGGGAGAAGGAUAAUAUGGUGACUAUGCAUGAUGUGAUGGAUGCUCAAUGGGUUUAUGAUAACUAUAGGGAUGAAAGCUAUUUGAGGAGGGUGAUUAUGCCGUUGGAGGUUGUUUUGACUAGUUACAAGAGGCUUGUGGUGAAGGAUUCCGCUGUUAAUGCAAUUUGUUAUGGUGCCAAAUUGAUGAUUCCGGGGUUGUUGAGGUUUGAGAAUGAUAUUGAGGUUGGGGAGGAGGUGGUUUUGAUGACUACGAAAGGGGAGGCAAUUGCGUUGGGGAUUGCUGAGAUGACUACUGCAGUUAUGGCUACUUGUGAUCAUGGGGUGGUUGCGAAGAUUAAGAGGGUUGUGAUGGAUAGGGAUACCUAUCCCAGGAAAUGGGGGUUGGGGCCGAGGGCUUCAUUGAAGAAAAAGUUGAUUGCUGAAGGGAAGUUGGAUAAGCAUGGAAAAUCGAAUGAAAAUACUCCUGCUGAGUGGUUGAGGAACGUGGUUCUGCCUCCAGGAGGGGAUUCUAUCGUUGCUGGCCUUGCUGCUGUUGCUUCUGCUGAGCAGCCAGGUGCAUUGAAUGCUGAGACUGCUGUGGUUGAGGUUGAAAAGAAAAAGAAGAAGAAACAUAAGGAGAAGGAAGGUGCUGAUGGAGGGGGUGAUCGCAAACGAAAACAUGAUGAGGUUGAUGAUAGCCCUGCCCCUGAUGCUGCCAAGAAGAUGAAAGUUGAGGGAGCUGAGGAAGUUGAGGAAAAAGAGAAGAAGAAGAAAAAGAAAAAGGAUGAUGAUGAUGUUGUAUCUGCUGAUGGAGAGAAAUCAAAGGAAAAGAAGAAAAAGAAGGACAAACAGAAGGAGGAUGCUGCAUCAUCAGAUGAGGAUAAUUCUGAGAAGAAGAAGAAAAAGAAGAAGAAGCACAAAGAUGCAGAGAAUGGUGAUUCUGUUUUGCCUGUGGCUAAUGCAGGAAAUGAUGACGAUACAGAAAAGAGCGAGAAGAAAAAGGAAAAGAAGAAAAAGAAGAAUAAGGAUGCAGAGCAGGCCUAGCUUGGAAGAUCCGGAUCGUAGCCCUGAAUGAAGUUCAGCUGUGAGAUUAGAUUAUAUCUUAGCAGGCUUAGCUUGGAAGAUCCCGAUCUUAGCCCUGAAUGAAGUUGAGCUGUAUGAUUAGAUUAUAUCUUAUCUGCAAUUAUGUGUAUGAUUUAGGGAUUCUCUUAUCUGUUUUCCAGAUGUUCAACCUUUAGUAUCUUAGUUUGAUCUUUGUAAUUUUUUUCCUUUUACAUGUUUAUGUUUAUUCAGAGCUUAAAUGCUUGAGAACUGGACUGUUUUUGCGGAUGAAAUUUCAAAAAGCUUUACAUAGAUUUAGAGUAUGCUUAUCCUAUGCUUAUCCUUUUUAAUAUUUCAGUUUAGCUGACUUUAGAUACAUGUAUGCUACAUGGUUCUAUUAAUGAUUGCCUUGUUUUCCCUUGCUGAAAUCUUCUGUAUUUUUGUUGCUUCUAGUCAUCAUCUUCCAACAGUUUACAUCCUCGUGUAAGCUUGCUCUAUUCUGAUUAUAUCAUGGAUACUGAUGCAUGUUUCUUCUCAAGUUUGUCUAGUAAAUGCUUUGAUUUGCCUUUUGAGAGAGCAGGUUUGUACAGUUAGUUGUUUCAUGUAGCAAAUCUCGAAUGAUGUUUGAAUAUCCGUUUUGAGGCAAAGUCUCACAUUGAUUUUUUCAAAGCUUGGACUAUACAUUCUUGGAUUAGGUUGGUUAAGGGAUCGAUUAUACACAUCUGGACUAAUUUGAUAUGCUGCGUACUUGAUUGUCAUUAGUUAUUGUCUUUUUAGCAUCUUUCUUGGAUUUAGACAUGCACAUUCAAGCCAUAUAUAUGUAUACAGCAAUUUUCAAAUGGGAAAGAUCCUUGUGAUAUUGUGGAGAGAAUGAGCUUGUCUGAUCAUAUUUGUGUCUUGGAAAUACACUGUCUGUGACUUGAGUUCUAAACUUGUUUGAUUUGUUAAAAGUCUUCUUCUGCAAAUGCUUUUUUUUAACAUAAUUGCCAUCUGUUAAAGACAAUUUCUUUGAAGUUAUUGUCAUUACUUUCAUACUAGCAUGAGGUGAUUAAGUCCUCUUUAAUACUUAUUGCAGGAUAUGUGAAGCCUCUCAAGCAAUCUGCAUUUCUCCACUUCUUCUUCUAUGUUGUUGCCUUAAAAGAAUAGUUAAACCUCAUUUUCUUUUCAAGUCCAAUCGAUCUUUCAUCCUGUAAUUUCUUUUUCUUUCUUUCGGUAGGCCAUUUGGUAUUCUGAGAAAAAGGUAUACCAAGGGCAGAUUGUCGAUGCAAAUGCUUUCAGGCCUCAGCCUCUGAUAUCUUACAGAACUUGUUGGGCUCAUUACUUGGGCCCACCCACUGAGGGAUAAUCAAUUUUUGGUCUCUAAUAGGGCCCAAACAGAAUAAAGUACGCCUUUAAGAAGGAAAAGAGGAAAGCCAAAAAAAAAAAAAAAAAAUCUCACAAGGCAAAAGAUCAUCCAGAAAUUUAAGGAAACCCUAAAUUUGCUAAUUUGCCUCUCACUUUCAGCGGCUAUACAUUUACAUCUCUCUCUCUCUUUUUUUUUUUUUUUUUUGGUUUUUUGGAUAAACUUCUUCAUAUUUACAACUUUGAAAAGUCAUAUUGAUAAAUAAUUUGAGAUGUUAAUUUUUCUUUUGGUUUUGUUUCAAAUGUUUUUUUUUGGCUUUUUGCAUGUAACUAAAGUAUGACUGCAUGGGCAAGACGAUUUGCUCAAUAAGCAAAUUUAUGAUUUUAAAAUUUUCCUUUGCUUAUUCGCUUCAUGUUUAUUUAUGUCUAAAAUGUCUUUCUCUUUUAAGACAUUCCCUACACUUACAAGAUAUUGUUUAGAAGUGGAAAUGAUUAAUAUCUUAUUUAUUAUGUUAUAAAUCUAGACAGUAGUGUAUAUUUUUAGGUACUAAAUCUAUGUUGAAUUGGAAUUUUCAUAGAAUAUCUGAAACACCACUCGCGGAUGUGAAAUUAGUAGUAAUGGGCGCGCAAAAAAGUGUAAUAGGGUCAGACACUAAAAAAUAUGUUCUUCUAUUGGAAUUCAAUUUUUUGUGAAAAGUAAAGCAAAUAAUCCAAGUUAAAAUUUUCAUGACUUCAAUUCGAAAUUCAUAGUAUAUUCCUCGACUUAGAACCAUAAAAUAAUUAAGUCUAGUGAAUGACCUAAAUACAAAAUAGAAGAAAUCACAACAGCAAAAGGUUCAUUUUUAAAGGCACUUGUUUUAAUGCCGGAAUGAUCAUUUAUUUGACAUUCAUUUAUUUGGCAUUAAAAAUUAAUUAGGUUUCAUUAAAUAGAUCAAUGAAUUAGUGAAAUCCACAUGACAGUAUCUGAUUUAGGCAACCGAAUUGGGAUCCGUAACUGAGAAUUUGAAGCCGGAUUGGAAGGGUAGGGGAUUUUGGGGGUGGGGAGGAGACAAUUUUCAUCUUGUAAUCAAUAGAGAUAAUUAGGUUACUUGUAAUCAAGUUAAGAAAGGUGAAACUUUUUUUUCGCUAUAAAAUGACAUCUAUAUUUAAUUUAGAUACAUCUCACACUUUUCUUGAAAGUAAUUAUCUCAAAAUUCUUACAUAGAGGACAGAAUUUAAUAUAUUUAAAUAAGGAAAAUGGAGUGAAGGUGUGAACUUUGUAAAGUUAAAGGUGUCAAUUUGCAGAAUUUUAUAAAAUUAUGGGGAGGGAAAGGAAUAAGAAUAAAUUUUAUAUACACUGUCAGUCAGUGUAUACACUAUCACAGUUGAAUGGAUGACACAUGAGCAAAUUUUAAAUUUCAAAUUCAAAAUUUGCACAUAUGUCAUAUAUCUUAUGGCGAUAGUAUAUACACUAACAGUAUAUAUAAAAUUACUUCAAGGAAUAAAUAAAGGCGCUUUUACAAAGUCAAGAGCAGGGCAAGUAAAGUAAAAGUUUGAAAAUGUUGCAAACUUUUAUGUCUUUAAUGAAAUUUUGUAAAACUUGAUUUGGAGGUGGGAAGAAGGUGGGGGUGGAGGAAGGGGGAGGGGGCGGGCGAACAAUUGCCCAUCCUUAAGUGUAUGUGGCGUCGCCACUAGCAUUGGCCUUUUCUUUUCUUCACUUUUUUUAGCACUCCGCUGAUAAACAAUUUAUUAGUUUGUUCAACAACACAAAUUAUCCAUUUUGCAGGGUUUGUAGUCUAUAGGUGGCAAUUAAAUUGAAAAUUCAUUUAACAUUUUUCAUGUUUCGUUUAUUUUAGAUGUUUUUGUAAGUCCUACCUCUCAUUGCUUUAAAAUAAAUAAAUAAAUAACACGGCUUUUUAGACAAAUUGAUAUAUAACAAAAUAUUGCAUGAUAAUCAGAUAUUAAGAAUACAAAAAUGGCAAAGAAGUGACAAAAAAAAAAAGAGAAACUCAAAUUACCAUUAAAACAAUUCAUUAUACUUAAUCGAGACUUGAGAUCAAUUGGGGUAUGAAUGGAGAAGAGAAAGGGGAAAAAGAAAAGGAAGGAUUCACAUAAUGGCAUGACUGACUUAAUCAUAGUGAGUUAAUUAGGUACAGAACAUACUAUAAAAUUGCUCUGCAUUACCUGGGGGCUAAGAGCCUACAAAGUAGUUAAAUUUCUUCAUUUUUGGAAGGUUGGUGCAGUCUUGCCAAGAAACACAGAGUUAAUUAAUCGCUAAUUGAGCUUAAGUCAACAGAAUGUGCACUUUCUUUUUGCCCAAAAAAUCCACACUAAAUAAAAAGACGAAACUACUAUUUUAUCUCUGUGCCGUGAGAUGUUCCUUCACUAUAAGUUUGGUUUUCACUUUCUUUGCUUUUCUUCAUACAUGCCAAUGGAAGAUGUUAACAAGCAUGAAAAACAAUUAGGUAAAUUUUACUUUGGACCCUUAAACUAUAAAAAGCACUACCAUUUUAGCUCUUGAAUUUAAUUUUUGGACAUUUUGGUCCAAACAAUAUGAAAUCCAUCCCACUUUAGUCCGUAAACUUCAAUUUGGACACAUUGCCCCCUAGAGUAUGAAAAUUAUCCUACUAAAGCAUAAGCUCUAUCCCAAUUUAGUUCUUAAGUUUUACUAUGUGUGGACAUUUUACUGCUUAAAAAAAUGAAACUUAUCCUACUAUAAUCCUUACAUUUUAAACAUCACUUACCCAUGAAUCCCUUAGUUUUGACAAUUUUACGGAAUCGAUUUCAAACUUUAGGGGAUAAGGUGUGCAAAUUGGAGCUUGUGAGAGUUAAAGUGGGAUGAAUUUUAUAUUUUCUGGUGUAAAGUAUCCUAAAAUGAAAUUUAAGAACUAAAGUGAGAGUGGGUAUGUAAUUUAAGGGAUCAAAGUGAAAUUCUGGGUUGUGUUUGGAUUGCAUUUUCCGUCAUUUUUCAUGGAAAAAUUACUGUAGCGAUUUGAUAUAUGUGAGGGAAAAAGGUGAUCGGGAAAUGUGAUCACGGAAAACGACAAUAUUUUCUGACGGAAACAAGCAAUCCAAACAAAUUUUCAUUGAAAAAUAAAAUUUAAGGGUUAAAGUGGAAAGGAUUCUACAACUUAACAGUUCAAAGUGAAAAGCAGCCUAAAAAGUCAAUAAUUUAUUUUAUACACACUGACAAUAUAUAUUAUUACGGUUUGAUACAUGAUAUAUACAAAAUUUUGAUUUCAAACUUAAAUUUAGAUUAGUUAUCAUAUAUCCAAUAGUCGUAGUGUAUUCACCGUCAAUGUAUAAACAAUCAAUCCAAAAAUUAAAGAUAAUUUGCUAAUGUUAAUUAUAUCUUGUAGUCAAGAAAAAUGGGUACAAGUAUGGGGAUUCAACUCUGCCUUUAAAUUUGUGAUUCGCAUUGCUUGGGGUUGGUAUUCUGAGCUAGGCAAAACUCCCAACAGUAGUCGUAAAGCUUUAAAAUCUGGUGUGCACAAAUACAAUGGCUGUAAGCGUCUUAUCAGUGUUUUUUUUCCCCCAUCGUUUCAAUGUUCGUUCGACAGUACAAUGAUAUAUUUUUGCAGGUUUUAUAGUCUAAGGUUGGCAAAUUGAUACAUUAUUUUUCAUGAAAAUGUUUCUUUUAAUUGACUUUAAUUGUUUGUCUAUACGAUUAAUACAACACUUUUGACAAGUUGAUAUAUAUUACAUACAUGCAUGACUGUUUCGAAAUUGGGAACGAACCAGAAAAAAAGGUUAAUUUUUUAAAAUACACUAUCAGGGUAAAAAUUUUCAUUACAUUUGCAGGAUUAAAUAUAUAUCACAUAAUCUUCAUUCAUAUUUUAAAAUUUAUAUUUUGCUCAUGUUGCAUGCAUCUAAACCUUUCAAUAUUGUAAAGAAAAAAAAACUAUAAUUAAAUUGACAAUGUGUAAAACAUUAAUUGAAAAAAAAAAAAAAAGACUUGAAGCUAUGCAUGCUAUACUUAAUCGAGGCGUGUUAGAGAUCAAUUGGCGCAUGGAUGGAGGAGAGAAAGAAAAAAAAAAAAGAUAAAAAGAACAAGAAGGAUUCGCAGAAUGAUAUACACGUAACUUGAUCAUAGUGAAGGGCAGAACAUAUCCUAGAAUUAGUUCAUCUUGAGAACAAAAAGGGAAAUUGACAGUGAUAUUACUGUCAAUUGGUCUUCCGUAUACCUUUCGUAUAUUAACACUAGAGGUACGUCUUCUGUGCAAGACGCAAUCUUGACCCCUAGUAGUUUAGUUGAACACAUAGCACUAAAUUUUUCUGGUACAUAAUAAAUAAACAGAAAUACAAGUGAAAAUUUGAGUAUCAGAACAAUUAAAAUUUGCUGUGAAGAGAAAUUCCAUCUAUGAAAUUAGCUCUUCUAAAUCAAGGAGGCAACAAACAUAGGAUCUAUCAAAUUCAUCACUAAUCUUGAGCUUAAUGAAGGAAGAUAAUGAAGCAAGUGCACGGUUGAGUACAAUUGGGGAGGAAGAAAGCUGAUUUUUCUGUGCAAUUUUGAGAAACAAUUUAUAGGGUAACAGGAAAAAAGACUUUAAUCGAUUACAUAAAGGAGACAUUUAAAUAUAAGAGCUACUAAUCAAACAUAAUUAAUCAAUAUUCAAGGGCUAAAAGUUUUUCACUAUUUUGUAAAAUUUGAUCCUAUGGUCAUAAAUUAGACAACAUAUAAAAACAGUAGAAAUCCAUGCGAUUAAGCAAAUUGACCUGCAGUAAAAUAACCUAUUUUAGCCUAUAUAGUAUAUUUUUGUCUUGACCCAUCAAGGUAGAAGUGGAAAAAUAAAAAAUAAGAGAAAAAUCAUAGUUUUCUCAAAAGAGAGUUACACAACGUGUCAAAAAAUGGGAGUGCUACAGUAAACUGCCAUGUCUUCUUAUAUAAUAGGUAGAUAGAUAAUCGUUGCUUACUAGUUCUUAUGUGUGUUUAUUUUAGGCCUUCUUUCUAUUUUGGUAGACAACAAACUUGGCAUCAGGUUAUAUAAAAAUGGAGGAAACACACAAAUAUUUUCUUCUACACUAAUUAAACCUCAUUCCUAGUAAUAUUUUUGCAAACUUUGAAAAGUGAAUUGUGCGUACCAUAGCUUGCGUGGUUGGAUAUAAACCUAAUUACAUUGUGGACAGAAAGUGGAUAAUUUUUACUCUAAAAUAACCAAAAUAAUAAUGGGGCUAAGGGCCUAAGCAAGUAGUAGUUAAUUUUCUUUAUUUUGGGAAGGUUGGUGAACUCACGCCAAGAGACACAAUUUUAAGCUAUUAUUAUGUAACUUUGUUAACAGGAUGUGCACCCUCUUUUUGCCAAAACAUUCCACACUAACAAAAGGAUGCAACUACUACUUCAUCUCUGUGUCAUCAGGUGUUUAUUGCAUAUAAAAUUGAUAUUCACUUUCUUCGAUUCUCUUAAUGCAGGCCAAUCUUGAUUCUUCACAGUUAAAAACGUUUCCAGAUAAGAGAAGUGAGAAGUAAUUAAUUAAAGUCCGUUGUUCCAUUAUGAGGCUCAAUCCCAACGUUCUUUGCACUCCUUUGGCAACAAGAACAGUUGUGUUUCUUGUAUUUUGUUCUACGAUAUUGCUUCCUGUCCAAACAAACAACGGUGGCUUUACAGCCGAUCUCAUCCGUCGGGAUUCAUCGAAAUCGCCCUUCUACAAUCCCCUCUUAACAACAUCACAACCUGUAAAGAAUGCAUUUCAACCUUCAUUGAAUCGUGCGAACCAAUUUGCAUCCACAAGUGUAGUACCAAAUGGUGGUGAAUAUCUCAUGAAAAUAUCCUACGGGACACCACCGGUUGAGACACUAGCAAUUGUCGACACAGGCAGCGAUGUUACCUGGACGAUGUGCCUACCUUGUAAGACUUGUCACAAGUCAAUCUCUUCCCUCUUCAAUCCCAAAAAUUCAUCCACAUUUGAGCUAGUACCUUGUACAUCCAAAACAUGUCGCGAUUUUUCGUAUUCCUUUUGCAAUCAGGCUGAUGCUACCACCUGUGAAUACGAAGUAAUCUACGCGGAUCUUUCUUCCUCUAGGGGAGAUGUUGCAACUGAAACUAUAACUUUGGAAGGUUCCAUGGGGGAGAGGCUGUCUUUCUCUAAUUUUACUUUUGGAUGCGCUCAUCACUCGGAUGGUGACUUUACUGACGAGGGAAUGGGAUCUGGACUUGUUGGACUUGGAUUUGAGCAGCAAUCACUAAUUUCACAGCUUAGUUCUCCAUUUGAUGGCAAAUUCUCCUAUUGUUUUGGUCCACCAAAUGAGGUCUCAAACCCCGGAAAAAUAAGGUUUGGUAGCAAUCCAAUAUUUUUGCAAGGAAGCAGGGUUUCAACGCCACUGUAUUUUGGUUUUGCUUAUUCUCUGAAACUACAAGGUAUUAGCGUUGCAAAUACAAGAAUGGAGGAUAGUGAAGGUGCGCUUUCGUCCGGGGAAUUCAUCAUAGACUCGGGAACAACAUACACGCUUCUUCCAACACAACUCUAUUAUGCAUUUGAAUCCGCUAUCCAAGAUUACAUAGGGUCGCAAAAUAGAGUGGAUGACCCAAACAAUGACUUCAAAUUGUGUUAUUCUUCUUUAGUUGAUAGUGUUAUCCCCAAUAUUACCAUGCACUUUGCAGGUGCAGAUUUGGAGUUGAAUCCAGAAAACAUCUUUCAGAGAACCUCACCUACUUCAGUCUGCCUGGGAUUUUUCCCCAGCGACAGUAUUGCCUUGUUUGGCAACUUGGCACAGGCCAACUUUUGGGUGGAAUACGACUUGAAAAACAAAAUUCUUUCAUUUCAACGUGCUGAUUGCGCUAGUCAAUGAUGUUUUCAGUAGUUAAUAUAGAGAUGGUUGUAUCAAACUUGUUUAUUUAACUAGAAGUAAUGAACAAUUUCUAUCUUGAUGUGGUGCUGAUAUAAUUAUAUUUUAAACAAAAAACAUGUCCACUUUUAGGCAUGAUGAAUGAGGUAGAAUGAAGAGAUCUAAACUGUGCUUUUCAUUAUAUUGUUUUUCGAUGAGCUGUUAUGCUUAGCUUACUCAUGGUUGGCAGUUGUUUGCUAGACAAAAGCAGCUGUAUAAUAAUCACAGACCAGUGUCUCCCUUGUUCAAGACAAUGUACAUGGCAGUCCUCCUCAUACCAUAAUCUGAUUGUCCCGGUCAGGUGGCUGCUAUGCAAGGAUUGGAGUUGUAAGAUACCUCAUGAAGAGGAGGAAAUAGCUGUGCAGACUGCCUAGCGAAGAAGAAGAACAUCAACAUGAACAUGGUCUUCUAGAGGCCAAUCAAGAUUUGUUGCCCGCAAUAGACAGGGCCCUCCAUAGGACCCCCAAAAAAAAAAGUGUGUAAUUAACUAAACUAAUCUCGAGAACUACAUUAACAAUUGCUUUUAUUAGCCUCCAAUUAGUAAAAGUACGUACCAUAACAUGGUGGAAACUAGAACUCAAUAACACUACUAUAAACUAACAACGAUCCUUGAAUUAUACCUCAAUUCUCAAUUUGGUCUCUAAAAUCUUUUCUUUGUUCUAAUUUCAUGAUUUUUUUGGCUUAUUCUUUAAUGUUUUUUGCUGCUUACUUGACGAGUAUUAUAUUAGUUUUGGGUAUUCCAUUAGUAAUGGUCUUUCAAGUGGGACGAUUUUUAUAGUAUGGGGACCAAAGUGUCCCAAUUUAUAAUUUACGGACCAAAUUUAGAAUUGAGGUACAGUUAAGGGACGCAAAAUGAAUUAUUUCUUUCCCCUAUCUACUCUAUGUUUUAGGUAUCUUCAUCCCCAAUGUGUAGAUUCAUUUUGCAAUCUUUAAAAUCCCAAGUGGUACAGAUUAAGAAAAGACUGAAAGAGUUUUAGUAUGUUUAUGAAGUUACAAUGUCAGCUAUACUACCAAUAAGUGUAAAAAAGAAAAGAAUUAAAAAUACAAUUAAAAGGUAAGUAUUAUUUCUUAGGAUUAAUCCAUAUUUGAGACCAACUGGGACAUGAAUGGAAGAGAGAAACUGAAACUUUCACACACUGCUACAUGGCAAUAAUUUAAGAGGGACAUCAAGUGUUAAUUUUUUUAGAAAAAUAGUUAAUUCAAGAAAAUGUCACAAUUUAAGGGUGCAAUUAAUGUAAAUGUGUGUAUUCACACACUAAUUUAAGUUUACAUCAUUGUCCUAAUGGUAGAUCAAGCAUGCACUAUAAAUAACGGAUACGUAAUUUAACAACAGAUACAAUAUAUCUGAAGCAUUUUGAAUAGAUCUGGAAAACAUAAUAAAUUUUCAAAUUGUCUUUUGGUUCAUGUAGCAACUUGACUUGGCAGACAUUUAAGAACAUCUCUAUGUUUAAUGAGGAUGCGCUUUUUCGUAUAAUGAAGUAUCUGAUCUUUUAGACUAGGCUAGAGUCGGCUUCUCCUUAGACUAGGUUAGAGUAAAUUAUACAAAUGUUAUCGUUGCGACAAAAAAAAAAAAAAAGUUACCCGAUUCUUGUGCAUAUAUCUUAUGCACUUUUAUCUGCAAUGUUCUUCAUCCUUUCCUGAUUAUAUCGUCUUUUACAAAUGCCAGAACAUAGAUUAGAUAGAGACCAUUCAUAUGAUUCUAAGUUUGUCUGCUACUAGCCACUUGGGCUCAACACUUUUCUGCUAGAAUAUUUUGAAUUGAUACACGAGAAGUCCUUGCAAUUCCGCUUGUGGAUAUAAUAUUUCUUGCACCUUGGGCUAAAUUGUUCCCAAGACUAGUCCAGGCUACGAGAAGUUGAUGAAACAAAUAGAAUAACCUCUAUGUUCCCUGCCACUCUCUUCCUAAACACGUUGAGCAUGGAGCUGCCAAGCCAGGCACAGAAAAAACUGAUCUGUUCUUGAUUGGCAGAGUACUUCGACAUUUGUAAAGGGCGAAUUAACUACACAGUGCAGAUCCAAGAAUGAACAAAAAAUUGUGGUCUAGGCGAUUGGGUUCCCAGUCGUGCAAUGGACAACUGAAGGAUAAUUUUAGUUCCAAAACGCAUGCCAAGACAGGAUAGUAGCUCAAUUUGUCUGUUUUUGGAAGAUUGGUGAACUCAUGCCAAGACAGGAUACAUUUUGUUAGGACAAUGCACGCUCUUUGCAACAAAAGCUAAACUAGUUAAAAGUAUGUAAUCACUAAUAUAAAAUGUCCAGAUGUUCUCUUAGCUUCUCUGAGUAUAAAGCUUCUUCUUUAAGAAAAAUCACACCUAGUAGGUUCAACAUGAGAUUCCCCCACAUUAUCUCGACUGUGUUAGUAGUAGUAACAACGCUUCUUGUAUGUUGUUCUACAUCCGUUUUUGUCCAAGCCAACAAUUAUGGUGGCUUUACCGCCGAUCUCAUCCACCGAGAUGCACCAAAAUCACCCUUCUAUGAUCCCCUCUUAACCCCUUCUCAACGCCUAAAGAACACUUUUCGUCGUUCAUUAGACCGUGCGAAUCAGUUCGCAUCAGCAAGUGUAAUCGUUAGUGGUGGUGAAUAUCUGAUGAAGAUAUCUUAUGGGACGCCACCAUUUGAAACACAGGCAGUUGUUAACACUGCUGAUGCUUCUACAUGGACCCAAUGCCUACCUUGUACUCAAUGUUCCCAGGAAAAGUUCCCUCGUUUUGAUCCACAAAAUUCUUCCACAUAUGAGUCUGUUUCUUGUCAUUCAAGAACAUGUGACCAAUUUUCAAGUUCCAUGUGCACGCAGGACAGUUCAGCUUGUGCUUUCUUUGUACUUUAUGGAGAUGAUUCUAACGUUUAUGGCGAACUUGCAAGAGAAACUAUAACUUUGGAAGGAUCUGCUGGGGAUAGGGUGUCUUUCCCUGACUUUAUUUUCGGAUGUGGACAAGGUGGUGACUUUCCUAAGGAGGGAUCUGGCAUUGUUGGCCUAGGAUUCCAGCACCAAUCACUGAUCUCACAAUUAAAUUCCUCACUAAAUGGGAAAUUUUCCUAUUGUUUUGGUCCAUCCAAUGAUGUCUCCAAGCCUGGAAAAAUCGGAUUCGGUAACAAUCCUGAACUCUUGGGAAGAGAAGGGGUGGUCUCAACGCCGCUACAUUUUGAUUUCACAUACAGCCUGAGACUAGAAGCCAUUAGUGUUGCAGAUACAAGAUUGGAGUAUCAUUAUGAUACACCCUCUUCAACAUCAGGCAACAUUUUCAUAGACUCUGGGACACCUUAUACUUUUCUUCCACAAGAACUCUACAGUGAUUUUAAAGCUGCCAUACAACGUGAAAUUGGGUCACAGAAUAUAGUGGUCGACCAAGAACAUGACUUUACAUUGUGUUACUCAUCUCUGCUUGACAGUAAUAUUCCCAAUGUCACGUUACAUUUUACAGGUGCAGAUUUGAAGUUGAACCCAGAAAACAUCUUUGAUAGGGCCUCAUCUUCUCCAGUGUGCCUAGGAUUUGCCCCAAAUGACAUUGGCAUACUUGGAAAUAUAGCACAGGCUAACUCUUGGGUACAAUAUGACUUGGGAAACAAAAUUAUCUCCUUUAAGCCAGCUGAUUGCACCAAAUGAGUCGCAAUAUACAGAAAUUUAGGUACAAUAUGCUUGGGUUUGAUCUGAAGGAAAGUAUGAAUAAGCACCAGUCACGGGUCAUGUCCUAAAACAUUAGAGGAAUCUCGAAAUCUGUUUCACUUGUCCAAUUUUUCAACGACAAUCAAACCCUUUUGAAUUAAAUGUUCUAUGUUAGCAUGAGAGGACGAUUUUCCUUCUACUUUUCUUCUCUCUCAUACUCUAGUACAAGUUCCUUCCUGAACUAGUUCAGAUUGUUCUCCAAGGACAGACUUGGUAUGAAUUGAAAACGUAUAAUCUAAAUUAACAAGAAACCGAGUACACUAAAAUAUAAACCGCACAAAAGCGGAGACAGGUAGAACCUUUUGAAGCAAAUAGAACAUCAAACCUGGUGUGGUGUCAUAUCUUUGCCUUGACUGAUGCAAAUAUCAAAUUCUACAAUAUAAUCAAAUUGGAAUUGUUCUUAUGCUUUUGUUAAUUAAUCAUGACACAAGAGUUGAUGAAAUCAUAUAGCAGCUGAAUUUCACAAACAGGAGGGUCAUGCACUUUACUAUGGUUAAAACGAUGCAUUUUCGACUAAGAUUUGAACAACUGCUAUCCAACCAUAUUCUUUUGUAGCAUUCUCUUUUUAAUACUCUGCUCCACAUGAUAUUUUAGUUUCUUCUUCCUCUUAAUGGAAUUUAAUUUUGUUGAAACAAUUUCCCCACAAUGGAGUAAGUAAAUAUUCAUUGAGUAAAAGACAAAAUUAUGAGUUUUAUACUACUAGCAAUUAGUGUUCAAGUACCUUCGCUGACAACUAUAGACUUCAACAAGAUAAUGGACUACUAGACACUAUGAAUUUGGUAAGGAAAAUAUGCUAGCAAUUAAGAUUGUGAGUUGUCCAUUACAAUCUUGAUUACAAUUUAGAUGAUGGCACAAAACUUCGGCAUGCCCAGGACAGCUUUCUAGUUCAGCUUGAGAUUGGAUUUAGCCAAACCUAUCCACGCUGGAUUGCAAGUACUUGAAAAUGUAAAUGAAACUAGAUUGAUUAUGUACACCAUGUCAAAUUGUUACAUAAUUCAGAAGUAAUACAAGGAUGAUCCAUUAGUUCAUGAAACGUAAAUGAGCAUCAAAAACACAUAUCACCAAGAAUGGCGAUUACCUCUUCUUACCUUUCUUCGGAAAGGCCUGCAAGCCUCAAUGCUGAGAUCAACAGCAGCGGCAAGAGCCAUAAAAAUGGCUGCAUCCUCCACACAAGUCACAUAUCGCAUGGCUAGUUGCACCAGGGGCUUGCAACGUUUCCCUUCUCCUUGUACCCUAGAGCUCAUAACAAACCCACCAUGGACAGGACUUAGUGCAGCAAAAUCACCACUGCUUUGUGGACUUGGAACUGGAGUUGCUGCAGCUUUCACCUGUCUAUCUGUAUCUAUGAAGAACUCGCCACCCUUUUCAGCAUUAAUCAAUAUCUCUGACAUGAGGAUCUCCCCACCCUCCUGUCCUUCAGAUAAAAGGUGGAAGCGACAGCAGAUGGAGUCUCUGAUGCCACGUUCACGCCAUGCUUCAAGCUUUCCCCAUGGCUGCCAGCUCUCAGGCCUGCAAGCAUCAGGCCGAACAAUCAACCAAGCUCCUGGGUUGGAUUUUGCUACCCAGUCACAGCCUGAUGAAGGCACAAAUGGAGUAGUUAUGAAGGCUGCUGCAACAACUGAGCCAGAGAGAUCGUGAAUUUUCACCUUCCAUCCCUUCCUCUCUCUUCUUUCUACAUCCUGAUCAGAACUGUCAACUGAAUGUGACCAGAAGUUGCUCAGCGGAUCUAACUGGGUUACCCUGUAAAUUCAUAACAAUUUUCACACAUCAAAAAAUGGGAGAACUAAAAUUGCUGUUGUCUGCAUUGUCAACUUGUAAAAUGAUGUCAGAACCACUGAAGUCAAGCAACUGAAGAGUUAAGAGUUCAAACAUAGAUGACAAGAAAGUCAGCCUUAUUGACAUGGAAUCAAUUGUCAAUUCUAAACAGAAUAAUCCACCAUAAAAGAUUUGACAGAAACCUGAAAAUGUUAGAAAAUCGAUAUUACCUGUCUUGAUUAAACUUGCAACUGAAAAUAGGCUGCUUAAAUGUACCCUGAAGCUGAACUAUCUGGGGACUUGAUCUGGUCUCAUCUUCAAACUGAAACAUAUAUCUUGGAUCAGGAUCUAGCUUCACUCUUAAAUGAAGCUCUGCUCCAGGUUUUGCACUACCCUGCUUGCUCUUGCCAAUACCUAUCCACCCAUUGAAAAGUAUAAUCGGUUUUCCUUCUCCCCAUUCAGGACCAACUUCCAACUUAAAAGUUCCAAUCUGUUGCCUUUUAAUACCAACACCACAAUGUGUACCUUUGCGCCCUCUAAAAACUACUAUUUCCAGACAUGCAUGAGAUGCGUAGAAACAGCCUGGGGCCAGCAAUGCUUUGAGAUCAGAUUCUUCUAGGUAAAAGCUGGAGGCAACACUCUGAGCAUCUGGGGUAACUUCAGGAGAGGAUAGAAAGGGAAUAGAGGAGGUCUGCACAGGAAAACCACGUAAGCGAAUCUCACACACACAUGGAGAAGAGAUAGCAUUAAUUCCAGACUUAGAAGAAUUCAGUUCUGUCCCAGGAAGUCGCAAACCCAGUGAACCUAUUGACAACCUUAUGAAAGCUUGAGGAUCCAUUUUUGUCACAAGUCCUUCUCCAUUGGACAAUUCUGUAGCACUGUAGCAGAAAAAAACCUGUUAUGACAAGAAGUAUCAGCUAAUGAUAAGUAGAUUGAAGGGCAUAAAGUAGCUAAAUCAACAUAGAUUACUAUGUAUUUCGCUUCUUUGCAAUAAACCUCAUGUUUUAGAGUAUUAGUUGUGAACGCUAUAAUGCUCUUGCGCACCAUGAGCGGAAAGGAUCUGCUGCAGUUUGUGCCAAUUAUAAAUUGAAUUCCAGAUUAAAUUCCAAAAAUUAAUAAGUAACUGGAUCAAAGAGGAAUUCUGCCAUAGAAUGAGAAGAUGCAAGCUUCACAUAUGAUGGGAAAUUAUAAAUUAAAUGUUAUUUUUUUCAGUAGGUCUAAUAUAGACCUAGACACCAUAUUAACAUAUAGUAAAUAAUAGACAUGAAUGAACACGUAUCCUAAACUGUGAAGGAUUUUGUGUGUGCAUGGAUUCACAGUAUGUCAAAAAUACUUUUGGUACUUUUGAGUACUAACCACAAGGCACAUGGUUAGACAAAGGACUUACCGCACAUUUAUGAUACAUUAAGCAAAGUAAUCAGCUAACAAGAAAAAAAGAAUGAGUAGACUAGAGAAAGACCAAUUCAGUAAUCCUCAUUUUGUUUGAAACAAGGAACAAUGAUAUGAUUUAGAGAUAGAGAGAGAAAGGGGGGAAAGUAAAGUAAUCGCUAAUACUUAGUGUCAGUAGAGGCCUCAAACCAAACUGUAUUUAUUUUGUAUAGGAUAUGCCUUUAUUCCAUUAAGUAACAUAGAUCAACGGUCUACUGAAUUCCAAUUUCAUACCCUUCUCAAUUGAGUAUGACCAUGUCUCCCAACCAUAACCAACUUAACAAUGUGAAAUUAAGGGACAGAAAAUAAAUUGUGGUAUCUCAACAUUGAUCAAGGACUAUUAACAAUAUCAAUGGCCACUGUAGCUGAGGCUUUUGGGUUGCCUGACAUAAAGGAAAAUAAGGUUCUAAUAUUUGCAGCUUCUGUCUGAUCAUGAGCAUAGCAAAUAAUGACCAAAAAUCCAGAUCAACAGAAACAUCAUCAGGAGCAAAAAGCAGAGUUAACCAGCUUUUCAAAACUUAGAACUUUCCAGCACCCGAUCUACUGUAAAAGAAUGGAAAAAUCCUUUCCCGUGAAGAAAUUCUCUCCCAUCUCACGAAACUAUUUCAUUCUACUGGAAGAAUAAGGAAAAUUUACUCUAAGCAAGAUAUAUGGUAUCUUAAACUCAAUCAUGAUCUUGGAUAUAAGCACUCAAUACUAAAUCAAACAAAAAGGGAUGAAGGUUAAACCCAAAAAAUGCUGAUUUUCAGCUCAAAAUUAGUAGCCUAGAAAGUCAAGCAGUAGCCUAAAUUUCUUCACCAUUAAAUUGCCAGAUAUAGGAUUUGUUCAUAAAGUAUACAUCAGGUGAAAAAUUGGUCAGAAUUCUGAUCCAGUCAAUAGAAGAACUCCUGAAAAUUCCUCAACUAAAGCGAUUCCUAUCAGAUUGAUAUCACCUUUAUUUCCCGUUUGUGUGACUUUGUUCACAAUUAAUUAAUCCCAGAACUGCCUAAUUACUUAAUUUCCCUUUAUCUCUUUCACAUUCCAAAUAAAUGAACUUAAGAAGUGCAUAGCCUUUAGCUUUAAUUUACCUAAAAAUCAGAAACCCAUACAAAUGUACCAACUGACAACAUCAGUUGUCAACAAUGAACUUAAGCCAUUAAUCAACCAUACUAGUCAAUACACAAAAUCAUCCAUAAAAGACAAGUCAAAGCCACUUAAAAAUGCAAAAUUUGAGGAAAGAACAAAAGAAAUAUGAAACGAACCUUUGCUAUGAUGCUUUAUCUAUCUCCAAAGCAAAACCAAAGCCACUUUUGAAGCUAAGUCCACUGAAAAUAGCCCAGAAAGCUGAGAAAAUCCUCAUAACUUUGUCAUUCAAUUUUCCAAGAAAAUAACCAAAAAGAUUGAAACUUUGACACUUAUAUCACCAAAACGGACUGUAUAUCCAAAAGGGUCGCUCUCAAGAUCCAAUUACAAUAUGAAUAAAUGAUCAAAAGGGUCCUUUAAUAGCAAUAGCUGCCACCAAAAACUACAGCCUCCUCCAAGCAUAUCACGUAGACAAUGCACAGAUCACGAGGAAAGAUAUACUUAUAUAAACUACGUACGUAUAUAUACUGUGGAGAUUAGCUGUAGCUCUUGACAAAUGUUGCUUUCUUUUUCACUGUUCUCCUGCACAUAUACACACAGUGACGUACACUGUAAAUGUGUGUAUUUUAAGUGUUUCCUAACAAAGGUUUUGGAGAGAAAAUGGAGAGCCAUUGUUUAAAACGCCACAGGCGGAGAAAGUAAAGGAGUAUUAUUGAUUUUUUAAUAAUCGGAAUAUGAAAAUGCUAUUUUCAUAUAUUUUUAAAUCUAUAAAGCUCCCAAGAAUACUAGUAGGUGCUUUUUAAAAUUAUUUUAUUUCUAUAAUGGCCAAGUAAUGUUUUUGGACUAAUUUACUUUUACCUCACAAUAAUCCACUUUCUCCAACUGAUAGGAAAGAAUAUCAAUCAUGAACCAAUCAAAAGAAUGCAAUUCCCCCCCCCCCCCACUUAAAAGGGUACCACAAAAUUAGAGGUAAAGGUAUAGUAUAUUCUUGGGUGUUCUUAUUACUAUUUUUUUCCACGUUAAUCAAUAAGGGGUCUAAAUAUUGUGGAGUUGUGAAUAAUAUCACAGUUGAAGAAAUUAGAAUAUUGCGAACUUGUAAAUAAUGUGUUAGGACUAUGCAAAUAACUAAAAAUUUGCAUGAUUUGUGUUUUUUUUUUCAAUUAAUUCGGACUAUACUACUUUAUUAGUAGAGUACAAAAGGAAGUAACAAAAAAAAAGUAACUUAACUUGGAUUGUAGACUUUAUAUACUCCAUACAUUGUGAUGCUAGGCACACUUAGGAUUUGUCAAAUGGUUAUGUGUACCAAAUAGUAAUAUUGUCCAUCUUAGGAUGAUAACAAGCAAGAAUCUCCUUUAAAAAAAAAAAAGAAAAAAAAAUUGGAAGAGGAAUAUGAGAAUAAGUGAAUUAGUUGUUAAUUACAAACAUUCUUUUUAAUUAUGAUAUGAUAUGAUGGGAUAAUAAAUUGAUGUGUGUGGAGAAAAGUAAUAGGGGAUAAUAUAUAUAAAUGAGUUAAUGUGGGACAGCGAUGGGGAAAAUUGGAUACAGCUGUAACCAACGCUUUGCUCGCAAUGACUCAAUGGGAGAAAUGAGAAUCGUUUUGUAGACCCGCUUAUUGGGGUUGGAAGGAUGAGGCUGACUUCAUCAACUGAUCAACGUAACUGCAUUAUUUAUUUUAUUACAAUUUACAAAUAAAAUUUGGAUAAAUUACAUAUAACCAUCUUGUAAUUUCAUUUAUUAUCAAAGGACCCUCUUAAUGUUUUAAAACAUUCACUUCACCGUGCUAUGAUUUUAUGUAAAAUGAAAAUCUGGCGAAAAAUAGCUUAUGUAUUGUCGUUAGUUGAAACACCAGUAGCGUCCUUACUUAAAUACUAAAUCGAACAACGAGUUAAUCACUUUAUAUAAAAUCACAAGGGGAUUACGUGGAUAAAUAUAAAAAUUAGAAGGAUAUAGUGGAUAUUUAUAUAAAAUUAUAAGGGGAUUAAGUAGAUAUUAUAAUUUCAUCACGCGCAAAACAGAGAAAGGUCAUAUGGCAAGAGUUAUCUAGCAUUAUGCAAAAUCAAAGGGGAUUACAUAUAAUUUAUCCAUAAAAUUAUAUUAAUAAAUGGGAAAAAUAAUUCGAACAAUUUUUAGUAAUAUAUAGCUAUUUAUUUUUUUUUGUAAUGCUAUUUAUUGCAAUGUCAACGCCUCAAUCUGUGGGGAUGGCUACAAGUCCAGCAUUCUUCCAAAUUUUGUCUGUGCCAAAUUCCUUAUUUACCUAACUUUUAGAGUGUAUUUACCAAACCUGUGAUCCAUUUUUCCCCCUAAACUCUACUCAGAUUUUGAAACGAUAACUUUUAACCAAAAAAAGUUCCCUCGUUUUGAUCCACAAAAUUCUUCCACAUAUGAGUCUGUUUCUUGUCAUUCAAGAACAUGUGACCAAUUUUCAAGUUCCAUGUGCACGCAGGACAGUUCAGCUUGUGCUUUCUUUGUACUUUAUGGAGAUGAUUCUAACGUUUAUGGCGAACUUGCAAGAGAAACUAUAACUUUGGAAGGAUCUGCUGGGGAUAGGGUGUCUUUCCCUGACUUUAUUUUCGGAUGUGGACAAGGUGGUGACUUUCCUAAGGAGGGAUCUGGCAUUGUUGGCCUAGGAUUCCAGCACCAAUCACUGAUCUCACAAUUAAAUUCCUCACUAAAUGGGAAAUUUUCCUAUUGUUUUGGUCCAUCCAAUGAUGUCUCCAAGCCUGGAAAAAUCGGAUUCGGUAACAAUCCUGAACUCUUGGGAAGAGAAGGGGUGGUCUCAACGCCGCUACAUUUUGAUUUCACAUACAGCCUGAGACUAGAAGCCAUUAGUGUUGCAGAUACAAGAUUGGAGUAUCAUUAUGAUACACCCUCUUCAACAUCAGGCAACAUUUUCAUAGACUCUGGGACACCUUAUACUUUUCUUCCACAAGAACUCUACAGUGAUUUUAAAGCUGCCAUACAACGUGAAAUUGGGUCACAGAAUAUAGUGGUCGACCAAGAACAUGACUUUACAUUGUGUUACUCAUCUCUGCUUGACAGUAAUAUUCCCAAUGUCACGUUACAUUUUACAGGUGCAGAUUUGAAGUUGAACCCAGAAAACAUCUUUGAUAGGGCCUCAUCUUCUCCAGUGUGCCUAGGAUUUGCCCCAAAUGACAUUGGCAUACUUGGAAAUAUAGCACAGGCUAACUCUUGGGUACAAUAUGACUUGGGAAACAAAAUUAUCUCCUUUAAGCCAGCUGAUUGCACCAAAUGAGUCGCAAUAUACAGAAAUUUAGGUACAAUAUGCUUGGGUUUGAUCUGAAGGAAAGUAUGAAUAAGCACCAGUCACGGGUCAUGUCCUAAAACAUUAGAGGAAUCUCGAAAUCUGUUUCACUUGUCCAAUUUUUCAACGACAAUCAAACCCUUUUGAAUUAAAUGUUCUAUGUUAGCAUGAGAGGACGAUUUUCCUUCUACUUUUCUUCUCUCUCAUACUCUAGUACAAGUUCCUUCCUGAACUAGUUCAGAUUGUUCUCCAAGGACAGACUUGGUAUGAAUUGAAAACGUAUAAUCUAAAUUAACAAGAAACCGAGUACACUAAAAUAUAAACCGCACAAAAGCGGAGACAGGUAGAACCUUUUGAAGCAAAUAGAACAUCAAACCUGGUGUGGUGUCAUAUCUUUGCCUUGACUGAUGCAAAUAUCAAAUUCUACAAUAUAAUCAAAUUGGAAUUGUUCUUAUGCUUUUGUUAAUUAAUCAUGACACAAGAGUUGAUGAAAUCAUAUAGCAGCUGAAUUUCACAAACAGGAGGGUCAUGCACUUUACUAUGGUUAAAACGAUGCAUUUUCGACUAAGAUUUGAACAACUGCUAUCCAACCAUAUUCUUUUGUAGCAUUCUCUUUUUAAUACUCUGCUCCACAUGAUAUUUUAGUUUCUUCUUCCUCUUAAUGGAAUUUAAUUUUGUUGAAACAAUUUCCCCACAAUGGAGUAAGUAAAUAUUCAUUGAGUAAAAGACAAAAUUAUGAGUUUUAUACUACUAGCAAUUAGUGUUCAAGUACCUUCGCUGACAACUAUAGACUUCAACAAGAUAAUGGACUACUAGACACUAUGAAUUUGGUAAGGAAAAUAUGCUAGCAAUUAAGAUUGUGAGUUGUCCAUUACAAUCUUGAUUACAAUUUAGAUGAUGGCACAAAACUUCGGCAUGCCCAGGACAGCUUUCUAGUUCAGCUUGAGAUUGGAUUUAGCCAAACCUAUCCACGCUGGAUUGCAAGUACUUGAAAAUGUAAAUGAAACUAGAUUGAUUAUGUACACCAUGUCAAAUUGUUACAUAAUUCAGAAGUAAUACAAGGAUGAUCCAUUAGUUCAUGAAACGUAAAUGAGCAUCAAAAACACAUAUCACCAAGAAUGGCGAUUACCUCUUCUUACCUUUCUUCGGAAAGGCCUGCAAGCCUCAAUGCUGAGAUCAACAGCAGCGGCAAGAGCCAUAAAAAUGGCUGCAUCCUCCACACAAGUCACAUAUCGCAUGGCUAGUUGCACCAGGGGCUUGCAACGUUUCCCUUCUCCUUGUACCCUAGAGCUCAUAACAAACCCACCAUGGACAGGACUUAGUGCAGCAAAAUCACCACUGCUUUGUGGACUUGGAACUGGAGUUGCUGCAGCUUUCACCUGUCUAUCUGUAUCUAUGAAGAACUCGCCACCCUUUUCAGCAUUAAUCAAUAUCUCUGACAUGAGGAUCUCCCCACCCUCCUGUCCUUCAGAUAAAAGGUGGAAGCGACAGCAGAUGGAGUCUCUGAUGCCACGUUCACGCCAUGCUUCAAGCUUUCCCCAUGGCUGCCAGCUCUCAGGCCUGCAAGCAUCAGGCCGAACAAUCAACCAAGCUCCUGGGUUGGAUUUUGCUACCCAGUCACAGCCUGAUGAAGGCACAAAUGGAGUAGUUAUGAAGGCUGCUGCAACAACUGAGCCAGAGAGAUCGUGAAUUUUCACCUUCCAUCCCUUCCUCUCUCUUCUUUCUACAUCCUGAUCAGAACUGUCAACUGAAUGUGACCAGAAGUUGCUCAGCGGAUCUAACUGGGUUACCCUGUAAAUUCAUAACAAUUUUCACACAUCAAAAAAUGGGAGAACUAAAAUUGCUGUUGUCUGCAUUGUCAACUUGUAAAAUGAUGUCAGAACCACUGAAGUCAAGCAACUGAAGAGUUAAGAGUUCAAACAUAGAUGACAAGAAAGUCAGCCUUAUUGACAUGGAAUCAAUUGUCAAUUCUAAACAGAAUAAUCCACCAUAAAAGAUUUGACAGAAACCUGAAAAUGUUAGAAAAUCGAUAUUACCUGUCUUGAUUAAACUUGCAACUGAAAAUAGGCUGCUUAAAUGUACCCUGAAGCUGAACUAUCUGGGGACUUGAUCUGGUCUCAUCUUCAAACUGAAACAUAUAUCUUGGAUCAGGAUCUAGCUUCACUCUUAAAUGAAGCUCUGCUCCAGGUUUUGCACUACCCUGCUUGCUCUUGCCAAUACCUAUCCACCCAUUGAAAAGUAUAAUCGGUUUUCCUUCUCCCCAUUCAGGACCAACUUCCAACUUAAAAGUUCCAAUCUGUUGCCUUUUAAUACCAACACCACAAUGUGUACCUUUGCGCCCUCUAAAAACUACUAUUUCCAGACAUGCAUGAGAUGCGUAGAAACAGCCUGGGGCCAGCAAUGCUUUGAGAUCAGAUUCUUCUAGGUAAAAGCUGGAGGCAACACUCUGAGCAUCUGGGGUAACUUCAGGAGAGGAUAGAAAGGGAAUAGAGGAGGUCUGCACAGGAAAACCACGUAAGCGAAUCUCACACACACAUGGAGAAGAGAUAGCAUUAAUUCCAGACUUAGAAGAAUUCAGUUCUGUCCCAGGAAGUCGCAAACCCAGUGAACCUAUUGACAACCUUAUGAAAGCUUGAGGAUCCAUUUUUGUCACAAGUCCUUCUCCAUUGGACAAUUCUGUAGCACUGUAGCAGAAAAAAACCUGUUAUGACAAGAAGUAUCAGCUAAUGAUAAGUAGAUUGAAGGGCAUAAAGUAGCUAAAUCAACAUAGAUUACUAUGUAUUUCGCUUCUUUGCAAUAAACCUCAUGUUUUAGAGUAUUAGUUGUGAACGCUAUAAUGCUCUUGCGCACCAUGAGCGGAAAGGAUCUGCUGCAGUUUGUGCCAAUUAUAAAUUGAAUUCCAGAUUAAAUUCCAAAAAUUAAUAAGUAACUGGAUCAAAGAGGAAUUCUGCCAUAGAAUGAGAAGAUGCAAGCUUCACAUAUGAUGGGAAAUUAUAAAUUAAAUGUUAUUUUUUUCAGUAGGUCUAAUAUAGACCUAGACACCAUAUUAACAUAUAGUAAAUAAUAGACAUGAAUGAACACGUAUCCUAAACUGUGAAGGAUUUUGUGUGUGCAUGGAUUCACAGUAUGUCAAAAAUACUUUUGGUACUUUUGAGUACUAACCACAAGGCACAUGGUUAGACAAAGGACUUACCGCACAUUUAUGAUACAUUAAGCAAAGUAAUCAGCUAACAAGAAAAAAAGAAUGAGUAGACUAGAGAAAGACCAAUUCAGUAAUCCUCAUUUUGUUUGAAACAAGGAACAAUGAUAUGAUUUAGAGAUAGAGAGAGAAAGGGGGGAAAGUAAAGUAAUCGCUAAUACUUAGUGUCAGUAGAGGCCUCAAACCAAACUGUAUUUAUUUUGUAUAGGAUAUGCCUUUAUUCCAUUAAGUAACAUAGAUCAACGGUCUACUGAAUUCCAAUUUCAUACCCUUCUCAAUUGAGUAUGACCAUGUCUCCCAACCAUAACCAACUUAACAAUGUGAAAUUAAGGGACAGAAAAUAAAUUGUGGUAUCUCAACAUUGAUCAAGGACUAUUAACAAUAUCAAUGGCCACUGUAGCUGAGGCUUUUGGGUUGCCUGACAUAAAGGAAAAUAAGGUUCUAAUAUUUGCAGCUUCUGUCUGAUCAUGAGCAUAGCAAAUAAUGACCAAAAAUCCAGAUCAACAGAAACAUCAUCAGGAGCAAAAAGCAGAGUUAACCAGCUUUUCAAAACUUAGAACUUUCCAGCACCCGAUCUACUGUAAAAGAAUGGAAAAAUCCUUUCCCGUGAAGAAAUUCUCUCCCAUCUCACGAAACUAUUUCAUUCUACUGGAAGAAUAAGGAAAAUUUACUCUAAGCAAGAUAUAUGGUAUCUUAAACUCAAUCAUGAUCUUGGAUAUAAGCACUCAAUACUAAAUCAAACAAAAAGGGAUGAAGGUUAAACCCAAAAAAUGCUGAUUUUCAGCUCAAAAUUAGUAGCCUAGAAAGUCAAGCAGUAGCCUAAAUUUCUUCACCAUUAAAUUGCCAGAUAUAGGAUUUGUUCAUAAAGUAUACAUCAGGUGAAAAAUUGGUCAGAAUUCUGAUCCAGUCAAUAGAAGAACUCCUGAAAAUUCCUCAACUAAAGCGAUUCCUAUCAGAUUGAUAUCACCUUUAUUUCCCGUUUGUGUGACUUUGUUCACAAUUAAUUAAUCCCAGAACUGCCUAAUUACUUAAUUUCCCUUUAUCUCUUUCACAUUCCAAAUAAAUGAACUUAAGAAGUGCAUAGCCUUUAGCUUUAAUUUACCUAAAAAUCAGAAACCCAUACAAAUGUACCAACUGACAACAUCAGUUGUCAACAAUGAACUUAAGCCAUUAAUCAACCAUACUAGUCAAUACACAAAAUCAUCCAUAAAAGACAAGUCAAAGCCACUUAAAAAUGCAAAAUUUGAGGAAAGAACAAAAGAAAUAUGAAACGAACCUUUGCUAUGAUGCUUUAUCUAUCUCCAAAGCAAAACCAAAGCCACUUUUGAAGCUAAGUCCACUGAAAAUAGCCCAGAAAGCUGAGAAAAUCCUCAUAACUUUGUCAUUCAAUUUUCCAAGAAAAUAACCAAAAAGAUUGAAACUUUGACACUUAUAUCACCAAAACGGACUGUAUAUCCAAAAGGGUCGCUCUCAAGAUCCAAUUACAAUAUGAAUAAAUGAUCAAAAGGGUCCUUUAAUAGCAAUAGCUGCCACCAAAAACUACAGCCUCCUCCAAGCAUAUCACGUAGACAAUGCACAGAUCACGAGGAAAGAUAUACUUAUAUAAACUACGUACGUAUAUAUACUGUGGAGAUUAGCUGUAGCUCUUGACAAAUGUUGCUUUCUUUUUCACUGUUCUCCUGCACAUAUACACACAGUGACGUACACUGUAAAUGUGUGUAUUUUAAGUGUUUCCUAACAAAGGUUUUGGAGAGAAAAUGGAGAGCCAUUGUUUAAAACGCCACAGGCGGAGAAAGUAAAGGAGUAUUAUUGAUUUUUUAAUAAUCGGAAUAUGAAAAUGCUAUUUUCAUAUAUUUUUAAAUCUAUAAAGCUCCCAAGAAUACUAGUAGGUGCUUUUUAAAAUUAUUUUAUUUCUAUAAUGGCCAAGUAAUGUUUUUGGACUAAUUUACUUUUACCUCACAAUAAUCCACUUUCUCCAACUGAUAGGAAAGAAUAUCAAUCAUGAACCAAUCAAAAGAAUGCAAUUCCCCCCCCCCCCCACUUAAAAGGGUACCACAAAAUUAGAGGUAAAGGUAUAGUAUAUUCUUGGGUGUUCUUAUUACUAUUUUUUUCCACGUUAAUCAAUAAGGGGUCUAAAUAUUGUGGAGUUGUGAAUAAUAUCACAGUUGAAGAAAUUAGAAUAUUGCGAACUUGUAAAUAAUGUGUUAGGACUAUGCAAAUAACUAAAAAUUUGCAUGAUUUGUGUUUUUUUUUUCAAUUAAUUCGGACUAUACUACUUUAUUAGUAGAGUACAAAAGGAAGUAACAAAAAAAAAGUAACUUAACUUGGAUUGUAGACUUUAUAUACUCCAUACAUUGUGAUGCUAGGCACACUUAGGAUUUGUCAAAUGGUUAUGUGUACCAAAUAGUAAUAUUGUCCAUCUUAGGAUGAUAACAAGCAAGAAUCUCCUUUAAAAAAAAAAAAGAAAAAAAAAUUGGAAGAGGAAUAUGAGAAUAAGUGAAUUAGUUGUUAAUUACAAACAUUCUUUUUAAUUAUGAUAUGAUAUGAUGGGAUAAUAAAUUGAUGUGUGUGGAGAAAAGUAAUAGGGGAUAAUAUAUAUAAAUGAGUUAAUGUGGGACAGCGAUGGGGAAAAUUGGAUACAGCUGUAACCAACGCUUUGCUCGCAAUGACUCAAUGGGAGAAAUGAGAAUCGUUUUGUAGACCCGCUUAUUGGGGUUGGAAGGAUGAGGCUGACUUCAUCAACUGAUCAACGUAACUGCAUUAUUUAUUUUAUUACAAUUUACAAAUAAAAUUUGGAUAAAUUACAUAUAACCAUCUUGUAAUUUCAUUUAUUAUCAAAGGACCCUCUUAAUGUUUUAAAACAUUCACUUCACCGUGCUAUGAUUUUAUGUAAAAUGAAAAUCUGGCGAAAAAUAGCUUAUGUAUUGUCGUUAGUUGAAACACCAGUAGCGUCCUUACUUAAAUACUAAAUCGAACAACGAGUUAAUCACUUUAUAUAAAAUCACAAGGGGAUUACGUGGAUAAAUAUAAAAAUUAGAAGGAUAUAGUGGAUAUUUAUAUAAAAUUAUAAGGGGAUUAAGUAGAUAUUAUAAUUUCAUCACGCGCAAAACAGAGAAAGGUCAUAUGGCAAGAGUUAUCUAGCAUUAUGCAAAAUCAAAGGGGAUUACAUAUAAUUUAUCCAUAAAAUUAUAUUAAUAAAUGGGAAAAAUAAUUCGAACAAUUUUUAGUAAUAUAUAGCUAUUUAUUUUUUUUUUGUAAUGCUAUUUAUUGCAAUGUCAACGCCUCAAUCUGUGGGGAUGGCUACAAGUCCAGCAUUCUUCCAAAUUUUGUCUGUGCCAAAUUCCUUAUUUACCUAACUUUUAGAGUGUAUUUACCAAACCUGUGAUCCAUUUUUCCCCCUAAACUCUACUCAGAUUUUGAAACGAUAACUUUUAACCAAAAAAAAAAGAGAAUUAUAUAUGUCAGAUAAACAAAGAAUUAUGUGUUAGACAAAUAUAUAUCGCUCUUUUUUUUUUAGUAUUCAAAUCCCAUUUAUGCCUACAAAAUUAUUGAUGUAAACCUAAUAUACGUGGAAAACGUUUGUCGGCUUUCAUGGACUGGAAUCCUAAUCACUUGAAAAACGAUAUGACUUUGAGUGUCUUAUUUUAUUUUAUUUUAUUUUUGUGGCUAUAAAUAGGGGAAAACAGGUAACUAUAGAUAUACCAGCAUCUAGAUUGGUAUCUUUUUUUUCAUUUGACCUUCCACGAUUUCAAAAGGUUGAAGAAUAUUUUCAUAUGUUUGGUUGUAGAGUAAUUAUUUUGCAGGGAUAUCUAACCAAUUUAUGCUUAUUAUUGGAUAAAUCGAUUACUUAAUACUCGGAAUUUUGUUAUCUUACAUCAGGUUUCGGGUUUUGGAUAUAUAUAUAUGUCCAAAUUAUACCGAAUUACUUAUGCGUAAUUAGGAAUUACCAAAUUCUAAUAAAUUAUUCAUCACUCACUUAACCGAAUCUUAAGUUGUCAUGCUUCCCUAGGUUUGUUAUACUAAAUACAUUGUUCACUUAUGCAUCAUUUAUGUCUUUUAUUUUUUUGUUUGUGAUACUAAGGGCUUGCUUGAUAGCUCUACUUAAUGUUGAAAAUUAAUUCAUUCUGAACUUCUUAAUUUUAGCAUGUUUGAUAACGUAAAUGCCUUACACUUAGUGUAUUAAACACUGCUUAGUUCGUGUACAAAUUUUUAAGUGAAAAUUUUUCAUUGUAUUUUUUUGAGUUGACUACGUAUACUAUAAUUCUCAUACAUAUUCUCGCAUAAAAUACACAGUUGUUCUCUUUCUUUUUACAUACACACACACACACGCAUGCAAAUAUACAUUCUCCCGCAGAAUAUGCACAUUUAAACACCACUUUUAAAUUGUUUCAUUAUUUUUUAUCUCUCUCAAACACACAUAUACACACUUUUCUUUCUCUCUAAAUACACAAAUAAAGGCAAUUUUUUUUACAGAUAAAAAAAUAAUAUUUCUGUAAUAUUUCAAUUCAGCUCUAUAAUUCAAUUAGUUAUCGAAUAGAUAUAACUUAAUCAAUUCAGCAACUUAAUAUUUUCAACACUUAAUUUUCAGACUUUAAAAUUUAGAUUUCAGACUUCAGUAUUAUCAAAAUAAGCCAUAAAGAUACCAUUGUUGUCUCUAAGUGUAUUUUUCUUCAGAAUUUGGAGAAGUAUACACACUUUAACAAAAGAUGUCAUCAAAACCUUCUGGGUAUAUUUCUGGCCGUCAAUAGAAUACCUAUCUGGUGUCAUAAUUGCCUUGCUUGGUCAUAAGAGAAUCUUGAAAUCAAUUGCGCGCAUUUGAUUCUCCAAUGAAAUUGCCGUACUAGUACAAUGUUUGAAUAUCAAUCUGUUGAUUUUUGUUUGAAUUUGUGAAGCUUUGCUCAAUGAUAUAUUCCACACAAAGUCGAGUUUUGUCAAUAUAGUUGAGGGCAGAGACUUUGAAUUCAAGAAAGAGCAUAAAGAAAAGCGUGCAACUUUCUUGCCUUAGGGUAGAAAAAAUACAAGAAGGAAAAGUCAGAAAGUGUGGGUUUUGUGGAGAACAAUAAUGUGACUUGAAUCAUUGAAUCAAAUAAUGUUGAUUCACUGUGAGUGACGUCUUUAUGUGCUUUUUAAACUGGUGUACAUGUGAAUGCUAAUGAGGAUUGAUGAUUAAACGAUUUUUAAUUCCAAUUAACACAGCUUCUUGGUGUAUGCUGUUUCAUCUGAUCUUGCGAUAAGCAUGGCCAAUCAAAGCAACUGGAGAGUUUUAAAAGUUGACCAGAUCUCUAACAACUGAUGGAAAUCAUCAGUAAAAUGAUGCAUAUGAUUGGCUUUGUUCUUGUUCCAUAAUCAUUGGACAGUUCAUCUGAAACAUAUAUACAUUUAACAACUAAACUUCGAUGAGAAAGAGGAUACCAGGUUGAUGACUUGAGUGAGUGCACAUGUUGGUAAUGAUAAUGACCCAUCUCUUAGCUCUAGUGAUUAAACAACAAUCAUGAAAUGGAGAGAUUUAAGUUGGACAGUUCAUGAGCUUCAGAAAGAGGAAAAAAAAGAAGAGAGGAAACCAUAGAGAACAAUGAAUUGAAAUGUUCAUAAAGAAGCCACACCAAAAAUUAUGCACAAUGACAUGGGAGAAAAGAAAAUAAAUGAUUGAGAUAUUAAGAAUUAGAAGUUCUGGAUUCAAGUCCUCCUUCUUCUUUUCCGUUUCUUAGAUCUCGUCCCUCUUUCGUUAAGCAUAAAAAAUGGAGAAAAAAAAUUAGAAGUUUAUGGCUUCAAUAACAUCAGAAAUAUAGUUUGAGAUCACGUUUUACUUGAUAUUAGUUGGUUGGCUCUAGCUUUACUAAAUCAAAUAGUUAUUUCCACAUAAUGUCCUUUAUAUGGUUUCAUACAUAUUUUUAACUUAUUCAAGUGAUUGUGUAAUGACGUAAGUAGUAUGUCAGUUAUCCAAAAAAGUCUUUACGGAAGGUCAAGAAGAAAUUGAUAAUCCAAAACAAAUUAUUUGGUCAAAAUUGAUUAUCUUGAAAUGGAGACCAACUUGGCAGAUGGCAGCCUCAAGAAAGGAAAAAAAAUUUUCCCCUUUUUUGGCUUCCAUCCUAGUGUCCGCUCCGGAUAGGUGCAACCGUUCCUAGCGGUUUUACGCAUUUUGCACAUCGCGUAAUUUCAUUUUCACACGGCGUAAUUUUGUUUGCACAACGUGUAAUUUUAGAGCAAAUUUUUGUGGGUCUCACACACAUUGUUAAAAACGAAAUACAAGAAGUGAUAUGAACCGUAUAUUUUUUUGGAGCCAAAUCUUGGCCAUUAACAGCUCAAGAGCGGUCCAUCUGAUGAUCGCUCCUGCCCCUCGUCCGUUUGUUCGCAAAACACUUGGGAGACAGCAAGUGGCAACAUCGUUUUCAACAUCUCCUCCGUCAACCAUACAACCAAGGAAUAUAACAGAUGCACAAAUAGCAUUAAUCUAUUUCUUAAUAAUAUUCCUACGGGUGAAGAAGAUAUAGGUCAAACCCUCUUCUUUUCUAAAAUUUUCAAGCCGUUGAUUGGAUUGAAUGUGGCAUAUGCAAACAUGUUUAGUAAAUAAAAUAAAGACAAUUAAACGUCAUGACAACAAACUAAAACAAAGAAAUUAAGGGUUAUUAUUACUUUACCCCUUAAACUAUAUCACUAUUAUCAGUUUACCUAUAACAUUAUCUUUUAAUCACUUUAUCCCCAUAAGUAAUUUAACUCAACAUGUUAAGAAAUUUUGGACAAUAAUACCCUUUUAUUUUAUAGCAUUACUACGUUGUUAUUACCACUUUAUUCGUUUAGAUUAUAGUGAUAUAAUCACUUUAGUUCCUAAUAUUAUUUUCUAGACAUUUUAUCUCAUCGUUAAUCUAACUAGUAUGGUAAAAAUUUUUUAAAUAUAUUUACCCUUUUUUAUAUAUAAUUAAAAAUAAAAAAGUUGGAAUGAUUUUUCUUCCUUUUUUUCACUUUAAGAGAUCGAAAAACAUAAAAAUAAAAGGGUUUUCUCAAAUUUCUAUUUUUCACAUUUGUUAAUACUAGGAAAAGAAAAAGAGAUAGGAAAGAAGGAGACAAAAAAUUAGAUUUUACAAAAAAAGAAAAUAAAGAAAAGUCUAACAUUAUCGUAUUACUUUAAGGUUGUCGAGAUUAGGAUUGAAAUUUGGUGGUAAACAAAAAAGUGAAAUAAUUUUAAAAUAAUAAAAGUAUUUAAUUCUUUUUUAUUUGAAAUUUUUAAAAAAAGAAUUGAGCUCUCUCUCUCCCUCUCCCCCUCCCUCUCUCCAUCUUUCUAUUUUUUUCAAUAUUAAUAAAAUUGCCAAGAAGAAAGAAAUUAAUACUUUGACUUUUUGUCUUGAUACUAAAAAGGAGAAGAGUCACUUUAAAUUUUUUAUUAUUUUUAUUAUACAAAGAGAAGGGUAUUUUCUUCUAAAAUUUUUUAACUUGCUAAAUUGGUUUAAUGGUAGGAUAAAUUGCUUAAAAAAUAACUCUAGGGGUAAAUAGAUAAUGAGACUAUAUUUUAUGGGAAUAAAGUGAUAAUAAUUUUAAGGGUUAAAUAUGUCUUUUCACUUUAAUUAACAAAUUCCGUUAAGUUUGAUUGUUAGUCUUGAGUGUAAAGUGACUAAAAGAUAACGUUAAGGGGAAAAUUGAUAGAAGCACCAAACGUUGAGGGGGUAAAGUAAUAAUAACCUAUAAAUUAAUAAAAACAAAGGGAAAAAAACAAGUGAGACAUAAAAAAAAAAAAAAAAGAACUUGGAUUUUGACUUAUUUCUUUCUAUAGUGUUAUGAGAUUUGUAUCUUUUGACCACCACUUGCAAUGUGGUAGAUGACAUUUAGACAAUAGGACAUCACUAACUCCAUUUGAGCCGACCAGAAAGAAGCAAUCCUCCCAAGGAUUUAGCAAAUUUUCAUUGAUGUCAUUUUGAAAAAACCUCUACCUUUUUUUAUUUCCAAAAGGAUUUAGCAAAUUUUUAGUAACAUUAAAAGCUACCACAAUUAGAGCUUGCCAACCAACCAAUCUUUUAAGAAGAUGCUUAGAACCUAAUUCAAUUGGCAAUUUAAUACUAAGUUUUAACAAAGCAAGUUCCUACCUUCAUUACGAGGGCAAACUCUGCGUCUCUGCUUGAUCUUCAUUAAGUUAGAAAAAUGAUCCUCACAAAAUGCAUUGGAAACUUUAAAAAAAGCUUUAGAAAUUUUUAUAUGGAGCACAUCUUUCGUGUCACUACAUAUGUAUUCUUCACAGUUACUAACCAAAACAAGAAAAAAGAUUUGAGGUUUGGAAAUUCAUUGUUUUGGGCAAUUUUUAGAAUUUUAUUUUGUUGCUUAUUAUAUUACUAUCAAUAUAGUAAAUUUUUUAUACUAACAAAUGUGGAUGUAUGUCACUUACGUAAAAAGUGAAUUUUAAAUCUAUAAUUAGAUUAUGCAGUGUGUAUCUACGUCUGAUCGUGUAUAUAUUGAUAGUGUAUAAAAAAAAUUACUCGGUACUCAUUUAUAUGUCAUUCUUCAUGUGCCCUUUCUGGAAUAUUUCACAUAGAAAAUUGACAAAUACAUGACAUUCGAUUUACCUUCAAAUGAUGUGGAAAUUAGUUAAUUGUAUUUAUAUUUUCUAUUUUGCAAGAAUAUAUAUAUAUUUGUAUUUGUACCGUAGAUUUGUACGUAGUACUUGGAUUGUUGAUUCUUCUUCAUAAUUCAUAAUUCAUGCCCCGUGGCGGCCGUCAAAAUAAAUAAAUGAGACUCUGCUUAGGGGUAGAGGUAGAGAGACGACUAAGCAAUACAGACAGAUAGAAAGACAGGUCAGGCGCAUGUCAGGUUAGCGGCGGCGUGGGACCAAGUAGAGCGACUUUGCGGCCAAGCAGGACAUGACACAUUAAUAUAUGCCAAAAAGAGCAGUUAACCAAAUACUACUAGUUUACAUUUUCAGACUUUGAUGCCAACUAAUCCCCUUCACCACCAUGUGUAUAUGUAUGGACUCAAAUCUUUGGUCCUUUUUUUUUUCUUCUUUAAUUGUAUUUUUUUUUUAUCAAAUGUCUUCCUGCAAUUCAGAUUUUAAAAAUUUCAGCCUUGUUUGGAUGGUCAUUAUUCUUCCAAAAUUUUUUUUAUGUUUUCUAUGAAUGUAUUUUCUAAUCACCUAUUUUAUAUCAUAUACAUUACAUUACUACAGUAAACAGUAGUAAUCUAGACGAGCUUAAUUUGUACUCGAGCAAAAGUUUCUGCUACUCCAAAAAUUAGCAUGCUUGUAGCAGAUUAUAUGAAAAUUUUUUGGAAUUAUACCAUAGCAAUUUUUGUAUAAUAAAAAUGUGAUUAAAAAAUAUGUUUAUGAUAUAAAGAAAAUAAAUAUUUGCAAGAAAUUGUCCAAACACCCUUUGCCACUUUGCUGCUCAAACUCAAAGCCUUUUUUUUUUGUGUGUCUCUCAUGGUUUUUGCUCUUCCGAAUCAAGAUCAUCCUUCCAUGGAGGGCAACUCAAUUUAACCUUUUACGUCAAAUAAUCCCUUUUUCACUCUAAUAUCAUUGUGCUUUACUGUUUUUUUAAAUUCUAAACUAGUCCCAAGAAGGUUUCUAUUUAGGUUUAAUGCAUCUUAAAAUUGCCAAGAAUAACCACAAAUUAGAGGUGUCAGCUACUUCCAUGCUUAAACAACGAUCACCAAAAUUUGGAAAAAUCUAACUCAUUGUACAUAAAACAAAUUUUAAUCUUUAAUGGACCACGAAUCCUAAAAAGGGGAAAAAAAAAGAAGGAAACACCCAAUUUCUCUAAAUACUUGCUCAAGAAAAUAAAACUCAAUAAUCAAGAAUUAUUAACUAAGUUUUUUCUUUUUAAAAUUUAUCCUUCCAUAUCUCGGAUUACGCAUACUGAGAUGCUCCUUGAUAUUGUGGGUCUGAGAAUCUAAUUCAAUUUUUGUGUAAAAGCAAUAUUAAAUGUUAGUAAUAGAGAGCCACUACCAUCACCGAGCUUCGACAAAGGGCGCCACUAAACAAGCUUUCUUUGUUGUAUGCCCAUUUGAAUUGCCAUUUUUAAAAAUAUUUGUAAAAAAUUAUAUUGUAACAAUUUGACUUAUAUGAGUUAGGCCUCAUUUCGGAUUGCGGUGCUUUUGAUAAAAAAAAUACUUUUAGGUGUUAAAAGUACUUUUAAAACGUUUGGUGAAUAUCAUUUCAUAAAAUUAGGAGUGGUAUUUUUGGUGUUUGGAACACUUUUAACAAAAGUUCAAAUUUGGUGCUUUUAAAGUAGAUUUUGCAAUUCAAAAAAAUAAAAUAUUAAAUUUAAUCAUUUUAUCCUAUAUUAUAAAUUAAAUAAAGAUAUAAAUGCAUGUAAAAAUUUUCAAAUCACACGUUAUCCAACACAAUAAAUAUUUAUUAAACUACAUCUCCAAACAGUAUACUUAAAAGUACUUAAAUAUUUAAUAAGCUCUUUUAUUAAAAUUCUAUUAGAGAAAUAUUUUUCAAUAAACUACCGCACCUCCAAACGGGAUUUUAAUUGAAAAAUGUGUCGAUGCAGAAACAAUCACAAUCCAAACGAGGCUACGUCACAAACUCAAAUAAUUUCAUCUGGACAAGAAACUAAGGGGAGAUGCCUUCGCCGUAAUUUUUGGCAUGCCGUUAUAUAUGGACAAAGAAAAGAUGAUGAAGAAGAGGCUUGCAGGUGUGAGUACAGAAGUGAAGUGGAGUUUAGUUUCGUCCAUCAAUUUAUAAUACAGUACUUAAGCAGUGCCAGAAGCAUUUUUUGAGAAAGAGGCCUUGUUUGGCUGGCAAGUUUUUUUUCUAAGUUUAUCUGUUACAAGUUUUUUAAAAACUUUAGCUACAAAAACCUCAAAAAACCUCUCAAAGUUUUUAAACUAUACACCUCAAAAUAUUAAAAAAUUUACACAUUUCAAAAAUUUUUUAAAAAAUUUCUACAGUAAACUACAGUAAAGUUUUAGACAAACACCUAAAAGACUCACUUACCAAAUGUGCAAAAAAAAAAAAAAAUAUUGUACAUAUUAUCCCAUUCUUUUAACAUGGAUGUGAACAAAAUUGUUUGACAAAAUUUUAGUCCAAACGAUAAAUAAUGUAGAUUCUAGUUAAAUUUGUACCCAAGGCUUGAGAAGUCAAUUAAAGCCCCAAGUGCCAUGUCUUAGUGGUCAGAGUGAGGGUUCUUAAAGUCUUGUGUAUUAGUUCUAAUAUUUGAAUCCUACGUUUGAUAAUUGAGGUGGGACGACGAACAUAAGGAGUGAGGGUUAAACUAAAAAAAUAUAAAGGAAAACGGCUGGGCAGGGAUCCUACUAGAUGUUUAGAAAAUGCAUCUGGUCAUGGUUUUGUUCUUCUCGGGGUCCAAAAAAAUCACAUCAUCUAGAUGAUCAGUGCCAAGAUUGCAGCCGGGAUUUUAUCAUCUUUGACCGCAAAGCCGAAUCCAAGAAAGAAUCGACAACAGGAGAGAUAAUAAUGCAGAUAUUGCAUUACCUAGCUAGGAUAUGUCCGUACAUCAUUGUGAAAUAUUUUAGCCCCUAUGGAUUGCUAUGUUUUGUAGAAAAAAUAUAACGCAGCGAUUUGAUGUAUGUAAGGUAAAAAGGCGAGCGGCAGAUGUGUUCACCAAAAACGUAAAAAUUUUCUUGAAAAAAAAAUUGCAAUCCAUGCUUAAAAAAUGCUUUCACUCCUGCGAAAUUAUCAUCAUAUCACAUAAUAACACAAUCUUGCACGAAUUGCCAAUUUCCCAGUUAUGAUUUCUGAGAGAAAUUUCCUUUCCUAUUAUACGUCCAGAGGAGUCUUUUCUGAGUUCUUGGAACCUCUUAGAAUCGUCUUGAUUUGCAUUUUCUCGUGGGCACCUGUUCUCUUGCCUAAACCAGAGGCAAUCUGCAUUCAAAAGUGUGAAAAGGUGACCUUGUCAAGUACCUAAGAUCUCAAAUGGCACAAUGACAACUGAUGACAAAAAGGAAAAAUGACCAUAUGCAUGCAACAUGAGAAAAAAAGAUCGAUGGUGGGAUCGUGCACGAAACACGAAAGACUCCAUGAUUGCUACAUAACCUUUCUGCAGUACAUACAUACAUGCAUUUCUCAUUGGCUACUGGUUAGGUGAAAAGACACAAAAUGCAAAAUGGGUUAUCCGAGACAUCGGUAUUGGGGGGUUGGGGUUUGGGUAGAUAAGUCCCUCGCAGGACUCCAAAAGUUGCCUGCUUUUGGAGUUCUUGUGGGGAUUAGAUUUAUUUGCGUAAAUUCUUACUUCUGUAAGAAAAUGUCAGAAAGAGACAGUCUAAGGCUUAAUACAUUCAUCAGUUGUUGGAGUAAUCUAAUCAAUGUAAAGGCAUGCAAAAGUGGUACUAUAAGCAUAAGCCAAGAACUGUAACAAUCACAAAGUUCAAGCUGAAUAUGAGUAAACCUUAUACACACUGACAGUGUAUAUAUUAUCACCGUUAGAUUUAUGAUAUGUGUGCAAAAGUUGAAUUUUAAAAUUAAAUUUUGUAUAAUUGUCAUUUAUCCAGCGCUGAUUGUGUAUACACUGUCCUUGUUUGGAAGCCAAGUUUUUUGCCAAGUUUGUCUGCUACAAGUUUUUAAAAAACUUUAGUUACAGUAACCUUAAAAAACUUUUCAAAAUUUUUAAACUAUACACUUCAAAAUAUUAAAAAAAAAAAACACACUUCAAAAAUUUUUUAAAAAACUUUUACAGUAAGUUACAGUAAAGUUUUAGACAAACACUCAAAAAACUCACCUUCCAAACGGGGCGAUUAAUAAUUCAUGCUAAUAUACUAUCUAAUCUUUGUGCCAUUUCAGAAAAGAAAAGCAAAAAAAGGAAAAACUAUCUAAUCUUUGUAUCCUUUCACAAAGGCCCACAACAAAUUUGCCAUGUUUGUCUGUCUCCAUGGACUGAGACUCUUCCCACAAGGAAUGUGGGUCUAAAUAGGGGAACUCCUUAAUUUCGACGACUUUUUAGUGGGAGUGACUCCAAAAAAAUCAGGCCCGGAGACAAUUAAUUGUUAGAAAUUCAAAAUGUUAGAUAAGUCCAAGAAGAGACAGGCAAAGUCAGAAUUUUAAAACCAAAAGCAUAAAAUCACUUCUACCCUUUUCCUUAAGGUACAAAAACAUUCUUUUCUUUUAUUUUUUCUUGGUUGAUAUGGAUUGGAAGAAAGAAAAACCAUUUCACAUCACAUUCUUGUGAGUUCAGUUCGCCUAUCAUCUACCUCCUUCAUUAGUUCCUUUUUUUCUCGAGUAUCCCUUGGCUUAGUAGUGUAUGUGGAUAGGCACCUUUUAUGAUCUUGACACUGAUCACCAAAUUGCCAAAAAGCAGAUGAGGGAGGCACACAUGGGCAAGGAAUGAGGACCAUUACACAAUUCUCCUAUCAGGGGGGUCGAGAAUACUCUUGCAUUUGACACUGAAUAAGAAGAGAAAGUUCUGUCAUUUCCUGCUUUAAAUUUGUGGAUUGAUUGAAUGAGCUACUCCUGGAAGAAAUUUCAUCUGGAAAGUUGGGAGCAGUAGCUUUAAAAAAAAAAAAGUGCCAAACAACAACAUGAACUUGAUCACGUCCCCAUUCAAUUGGACUUGUUCUCCCAAUGCCUAAGCUUUUUUGACAUCAGGAGACAACAGCACAUGCAGAGUCGGAUAGAAUGAUACUAAAAGACAUCCCAAUUCCCAACCUUAAAGCGGCAGAUCCUGUGGCCUUUAAAGAUGAGAGAGUGACCUGACCUCUGAUAUAUUGAAUCAUUAAUGCUGAUUAAUAUCCACCCUGAAAUUGAAGAAGAAAUAAAUGUGCUCCAAGUCAACAAGAUAAGGCCUGCUACUUACCAAGCAGAGGGGUCAUUUCCAAGGUAAGUGAGCUUUACAUUUUUAGUACAUUUGCCCGUAUUCUUUGAAAUUUAGCCCCUUGAUUUGUUAAGCUUCUUUUUUUUUUUGUCUGAAGAAAAUAGCAAGAUUGAGGCCUGAAACAACCAAGUUAAUCUGCCUUUUCAUGCUAGGUAAUCUAGCUAAUCCUCAGAGAAAAUCAAAAGCUUAAUCCAAUCUGUUAGGGAAGGAUCAAAUACUGGGCAUUUAACCCUCAGUGGAACAGAAACCAUACAUCUCAGGACAUAAUGGCCUUUUCUUUUGUCCUCCUAACGAGAAUAGAACCUACAAUAACAGAUAACCAGUGUAUGUAAAGAUCCUCUAAAUCACAGCAGUUAGCAGCCAACAUCCAAUCACAGGUAAUAAGGAACCAUGUACCCCUGAUUUAGGCAACUUGAUCUAACAUGUCAAGUAGGCAAGAAGUCUCUGGUUAUUUAUUUUUCUCAUGAGGGAGAUAGGAAAUACUAACACAAGGAUAGUGUUACUAACAUCCGUAAGUACCAAAAACCAAAUCUGCAUAAACAAGCUAAGUGACAGCAAAGUGACCAAAAUCUUAAACUAUAUAGAGAAAAAUGCACGCUGAAAUCUAGCUAUAUGUAUUUAUAUACACGCUGAAUUUAGUUUCCAAAUUAUUCAAAAAAUGCUUCAACCAAACCAAUAAAACACAGUGAUCCUGGAGAAAGCAGCAACACAGAAUGGAAGAAACAAAUCCCAAGACACACAAAUCACUUCCAUCUCUUGAACCCCAUGAACUUGUGCUAGU